AAAUGAAAAGGAAAUAAAAUUAACUAACGGAAUUGAAAUUAUAAGGGCUAAAACUUAAACAUACAGCCAAUAACCCUAGCCCCUUCUUCUAUACUUUAGCCAACUCCUAAAUCCCCACUUCAAACGACCGAUUCCCAUCCCCCAAACAACAAUCUGCACAUUGAAGCUUACAAGACGAAAUUUUUAGCCUCAAGAUCUCCUCCUGACUUCGAUUUCAACAAAGUAGAAGAAGACCUACGGCGUAUUUACGAGGUAGCCCCUUUCCCUUUUUUCUUUUUCUUGUUUUUCUUUCGAAUACAAGAACCACAAAUCCUGAAAAAUGAAAUCAAAGAAAAUAAAGCAUUUAGAGAUCUUGAAUCGGAAAUCACCUUGUGUAUUUCAGUAUGCGUAGUGUGCAUAAGUUUUUUGCAGGUACAUUCGUCGGCUUUUAUAGCCGGAGUUACAGAGUAAAAUCAAAAAAUAAAAUAACAUUUUAUUGCUGUUAUUUGCUGUAGAUUUUAUUAUUCUCCUUCUCGUAUGUUUCAUUUGCAGGAAAGGCCGUACACAAGCACGAGAGGAGACGCGCGCGAGGGGCUGGUGGAGCCCGAGUGGUGCUCAUCCGAAUUACUGGCUGCUGCGCGAGAGGGAGAACCCUUAGAGCUUCUGAAACAAUCACCUGGACUAGUCUUUGGGUCAUGUAUGAAUGGGCUGGGACUUUGGGUUAUUAAUUAAUUGGGUUUAGAUUUAUGCAAUUGGGUUUUAAAAAAUGUAUCUGGGCUGGACUGUAUAUAUAUUUUUUGGGUUAAAUAACUUGUAAAUGGAUAUUGACUUAUUCUGGGCUGUUCAUUGUCUUUGUUUUUAUUUUUUGGUUUUUGGUUUUGUAUGGGCUCGGGCGAAUUGGGCCUAUUACAAUUGCGCUCAACAGUUCUUUAUAAGUGUUCCACUAUUUUUUGUUUUAUUUAACGAUGAGAUGUCAUGUUAUUAUUCACUGAUAGUGCAUUCAGGGGCGAAUGUAGAAAUUUUAUUUAAGGGAGGCCAAGAUAAGAUUAUAAAAUUUGAAGAGUCAAAGCUAAAAAUUUUAUAUUAAAAAUAUUUAAAUUAAAUUAUUACUUUUUCAAAAGGACUAAAAUUAUGAUUUUUUUCAUUUAACCAAAAGUCAAAAAAAAUAAUAAUAAAUUGAAUCUAGUAAUUUUAGAGAAGAAAUAUUAAUGCAAUUAUAUAGUUAAGGGUGGGCCAAGGCUUUACCUAUCCCUUUAACUACGCCUCUUGAUACAUAAGACUUAUGUACCGAUAAUAUAUUAAAUAUUUUCAUUUUUUAAUAAUUUAUAUUAGAUGUGAAAAAGAGAAAAAAAUAAAAAUAAAAACAAACAAGAGUAAUUUAUGCAAAAAAAGUAGACGGGAGAACAACAGGCAACUUGAAGAACAAUUCAAGACAAAGAUUUAGAGUGCCAUAUUAAUUGGGUUAAGCAUUUUCUGCGUGUACAUAAUGUUAAAAAGAAGGGUAACUUUUUUCCCCAUCAUUUUAUUUCAAAUCAUUACAAGUUUUGAUGUCUCCAUCUUCCUUAUUUGCUUCCAAUGACCACUCGACUAUAAACUAUUAAAACUUAAUUAUUUAUGGUUUAUUUAUGAUUUUGGAUUAAUUUUGACAGUUUGUAAUUCUGGGGCUCUCUGGACUUUAUGGUUUUAUAACUGUUGGUUUUGGAUUUAUACGUUGUUAAUGCAUGCUUAAGCAAAACGUUUUUCUCUAAAAAUGACAAUUUGUACGCAAACAAAGGUUUUUCUUAAACAUGAUUGCAUUUUCAAAAUACAAUUGUUUCAAGGCUUUUGCUAUAAUAAGUUUUGGCAAAGGGACUAAUUAGAUGGUGUUUUAAGUAAAAACAUGAUUGUUCUGACGAGAUAACUUCGUUUUUAAAACCCCUACCUUGUGGCACUUUUAGAUUCAGCUCUGACGUCUAGGCCGGGUUUGGGGUGUUAAUUUAGUGGUAUCAGAGUCAAGUUGUAAAACUCGGGUUGUGAAAUUUUGGGUUCCAAAAUUGUGUUUUAAAAAGAGUUAGUUAAUUUUAAAUGAUUUGAAUAAUUUGAGAAAGUAUGUGGUACACUGAGUCUCCAGCCUCGAUCCUAUGAGUAUCUCUAUACUUAGAUAGAAUCGUCCUGAAACACUGUAGAUAGUACUUUCUGAAACUAUAUUGAAAUAGUUAGAGACUGAAACUUCUGAAAACAAUUCUAAACUUAUGAUAAUUUAUGCAUAAAACACCUACUAAUAAAUACUAAAACUAAUGCAUAAAAUUUUUAAUGUAGAUAAAACUCGAAAUAUACAAUGAGCGACGAGCGAACGUGGCAUUCGAGGCCAUGGUAGAGGCUGUAGGGGGUCUCGAUCUGAGUUUUCCUUUCUGGGCAGUAUACCGAACUUGGAUACGAGUAAGACACUAGUUUCAUUUGUUACUAAGACUGGGUCUCAGAGUCGCUUGGUUGGGGACGAUGCACUGUCCCAAGCCAUGUUGAAGAUCUUAGAGAGGGUCACUAGACCUCAUUCUGGAGUUGCGGGCUGAGGGUCAGUAACUGAAUGACUCCGGUCUAAUGGUGUUGAGUUGUUUAGGGGUGUCACUAGAGUCGCCCCUAAUGUGGCCGAGUAUUCGUUGGAGGCCACUGAGAGGAUUAUGAAUGAUCUAGACUAUACUCCUGAGCAGAAAUUGAAGGAUGCAGUCUCUUUGUUUUGUGAUGAGGCUUAUCAAUGGUGGUUGACAGUUGAGGAGGGAACUGAGCCUGAUCGUCUUAGUUGGGAUUUCUUUAAGACUACCUUUCAGAGCAAGUAUAUAGGAGCGAGCUAUGUGGAUGCUCGUAGGCGUGAGUUUAUGAGUCUCACGUAAGGCGAUAGAUCUGUUGUUGAGUAUGAGGCCGAGUUUCUGAGGCUGAAUCGUUACGCUCGAGGCAUGGUGGCAACUGAGUAUGAGAGGUGCGUUUGAUUUGAAGAUGGCUUAAGGGAUAAUCUGAAGGUGCUGAUUGCUCCACAAAUAGAGUAAGAGUUUGCAGUUUUGGUUGAGAAGACGAAGAUCGCCAAAGAUGUUAAGCGCAUGAAGCACCACAAUAGGGAUCGUGAGAGGGGUAAAAACAAGAGGAAAUCAGAGCCCUCUAGUUCUAUUCAGAGGCCUAAGAAAAAGGCCAGAUCUGAUGGGCUAGUUAGAGUAGGGGCUCCUGUUGCUACUACUGAGAUUCAGUUGUACGGUGAUUGUGGUAGGCGCCAUUCGGGUGAGCGUUGGAGGAAAAUAGGGGCUUGUCUGAGGUGUGGGUCAUUAUAGCACUGUAUUCGAGAGUGUCCAUAGAGGCUUGAUCAGGUGCAAGCUGCAGGACCUAGUUCUGCGCAGCCAUAGAGGGUAGUUCAGCAACCACCUAGGGGCCGUGGUCAGGCUAGGGUGGUAAUGGUAUGGGUCGUGGGCAGAGGGCACUGGGCAGAGGUGCUAGUCAGAUUGAGGUGAGACAGCCUGCACUGGUUUAUGCUACAUGACGCCGAGAGGAUAGAGAUGCUCCUGAUGUCAUCACCAGUACAUUCCUUAUAUUUGAUGUGCCUUAUACUGAUUUCAUAGAUAUAGGUUCCACUCACUCCUAUGUAGCUAACACUAUAUCUGAAAAUCUAGGGAUUUCUGUGGAGAACACUUCUAGUGAGAUUACUGUACUAAGUCCGUUGGGGCAGACUGUUCAUGUUAGUAAACUCUAUAGGGAUGUUCCGUUAAUGGUACAAGGGGCUGUCUUCCUGGAAAAUUUGAUGGAGCUUCCAUUUAGGGAGUUCGAUUUAAUUUUGGACAUGGACUGGUUGGUUGAGCACCGAGUCAGUUUGGACUAUGCAUCUAAGAGGGUCGUUCUGAGAACCAAUGAUGAUAUGGAGGUGGUUGUAUUUGGUGAGCGUCAAGAUUAUUUGUCUAAUAUGAUGUCCGCUCUUAUGGCUGAAAAACUGGUUUGAAAAGGGUGUAAGGCGUACUUGGCUUACGUCAGUGUUUCUGAUUUUGGGGAUUCCUCUAUCGGAGAUAUUAGAACGAUGAGGGAUUUUUUGGAUGUCUUCCCUAUGGAGUUACUAGGUUUACCUCCGAAUCGAGAGGUUGAGUUUGGAAUUGAGCUCCUUCCGAGUACAACUCCAAUGUCUAUUGCUUCAUACUGUAUGGCACUGAAGGAGCUUACUGAGCUUAAAGCUCAACUUUAAGAACUUCUAGAUCGUGGUUUCAUCUGUCCCAGUGUGUCUCCCUGGGGGGCACCAGUUCUGUUUGUUAAGAAGGAUGGGACCAUGAGAAUGUGCAUCGAUUAUCGGCAGUUGAAUAAGUUGACUGUAAAGAAUAAGUAUCCAUUUCUGAGGAUCGAUGACUUGAUUGAUCAGUUUUGAAGGGCUUCAGUGUUUUCAAAAAUUUAUCAUCGUUUCGAUUAUCCUUAGUUGAGGGUUAAGGAGGUGGAUGUUUAUAAGACCACAUUUAGGACUUGUUAUGGACAUUACGAGUUCCUUGUGAUGCCUUUUGGUCUGAUGAAUGCUCCAACGACAUUCAUGGACUUGAUGAAUCGGGUGUUUCAGCCUUAUCUGGAUCAGUUCGUUGUGGUCUUUAUCGACAAUAUUCUGGUAUACUCUAAGACCGAGGAUGAGCAUUAUGAGCACCUUAGGGUACUACUUCAGAUUCUACAUGAGAUACAACUUUACGUUAAGUUAACUUUACGCUAAGUUGAGCAAGUGUGGGUUCUGGUUGCAUGAAGUGACUUUUUUAGGGCAUGUGUAACACCCCCUAACCCUAAACUGUUACCGAAAUAGAGUUACGGACCAGUACCAGACCUUUCAGAAAUAUUAGGAACCUUACACAUAAAUAACAUACAUAUUGUCCCUUUUAUGGACCCUCGAGGCCCAAAAAAUGUGAUAGAAGUGAAUCGGGACUAAUUCGAGUGCUCGAGAAAAUUUUCAUGAAAUUCUAAUUUUUUUAUUUUUAUUUUUUAUUUUUAACAAAUAAAGGGCUCGUACUGUAUAGACCGGAUCAUAAGGGCUCAAUAUAACCCCUUUAUAAUCAUCUAACCAACCCUGCAAACUUAAAACAUACCUAAUUCAAACCAAUAUCACAACCAUUACAAUUUUAUAUACAAUUACAUUUAAAACAUAUCAAGCCACCAACCUGAUAAUCUAUUCACUAAACAUUUACAAGCAACAUUAAUAUUAGUUUAGAAAUUUCAUUUUAUUUCUAUUUCAAAGUUUAAUAUCAUAUGUGCCAUUUUAUCUUCUUAUUCUUUCAUAUGUCAUCUAUUACAACCAAAAUCCACCAUGACACAUAUACAUAACCUAGGUACAUGCCACAAUUACCAAAAAGAAAUAUAUACAUCACCAAGUUUCUAAGGUCAGGAUUGGCUUUGGAUGCUGGACUGGAUCGUUUGACUUCUACUAACCUGUGCAUGGAAAACAACCAUACGCUUAGUAUAUUAUACUCAGUGGUAUUACUAUAAUUCAAAUUUGUAAAUCAUGCAAAUAAGUAUACUUAUUCAAUUUAUACUUUUAUCCUUUUAAUAAUUGAUACAUAUUAAAUCAAUCUAUUUAAUAAUAAUAGUAACUUUUCAAACUUGUAUCCAAUUGAAUUCAUACAAUAUUUCACUAUAUCAAAAUUCAUUCCAUUCCCACAUCUCAUAUCAAUAUGUCUUUCAUUUCAUAUAUAAAAUCAUUCAAUAGAAUUUAUAUUAUCAAAAUUUAUUCCUUUUCCCUAUUAACGUGAUUCGGACUUUGACGGACACACGGAUCCAAUCAAACACACCAAUAUGACACCCAGUGCCUCAUCGGAUAGUUUGAAGCAAUAAGUUGACACCCAGUGUCUCAUCGGCAAUGCCAAAGUAAGUUGGUACCCAAUACCUCAUCAAAUCUAUCUGAAGUAAUAUAAUGACACUCAGUGUCUCAUCAAAUCGAAGUCCAAGUAACCCUGAACACUUCCAAUCUUAUAGCAUGCUAACUAUAUCCGACUUAGCUCGACUAGUUAAUAGGGUUUCCAAUUCACUUUCUCAAUUCAAUUUCAAUCAAAUUCAUACCAAUCACAAAUUCUCAUAUUUUCAAUUCAAUAUUACAAUAACUUAUUUAAUUUAAUUCAAUUCAAAUCAUCUUCAAAUUCCAAUCAAUAUACAUUCAAAUAUUCAUAUUCACAUAAUUCAUAAUUCAAUAUCAUUUCUUACCUCAAUUCCACUUACCACACACAUUAAUUAAAAUUAAAAAAUAAAUAAUAACUAAAUUCGAAUUAUAGUAAUACAAACCAGAAUUUCUCCCGAGUUACUCUCUGACAAUCUUUUCCUUUCCUUUCUAAGCCGAUGUCUCCGGUUCGAUGUUAGCUACGAAAAUUAAAAUUAAAAUAAUUUAUAAUUAUUAAUACAACAAUUAUUCACAUCAAAUACUUGAAUUUCCUAUUUAAUUUCUACCUUAAUUCCAAUUUAAUCCUUAACUAAAAUCAUCUAUUUUUUCAUCCCAAUUCAUACCUUAUUUAUAUUCAAUUUUCAACCAAACUUAAACUUAACUCUCUAAUUUUCAUCAUAAAUACCUAAUUUCAAAUUUCUUACAAUGUAGUCCCUAUUACACAAAAUUUAUAGCCUAUUCUACAAUCUAAUCAUUUUCCCACUUCCAACUUGAAAUUCUAUUAAUUCAAUCCCUAAGUCACACUUUUACUCGACAAAAUUAGUAUUUAAAAAUCUAAUAACUUCUGAAAUUUCAACAUAUAUCUAGCAGUAUUUUGUUCUACGAUCAUAAAAACUCAAAAAUUACAAGAAAAUGACUUAAAUUGAUUUACCAAUUUGAAUUUGAACCUUUGAAAUCCCUAGAUUAUUUUCUUUCCUUUUUUUUCUUCUUUCUCUCUGUUUCGUCCCUCAACUAUCCUGUUUCUUUUGUUUUAUAUAUAUAAUAUAAUAAUAUAAUAUAAUCUAAUAUUAAUAUAAUAAAAAAUAAUAUAUUAUAAUAAAAAUCUUAACUAAAAAUCUUUGAUAUUUUAAUGUUAAACUGCCUCAAUUAACUAAAAUUGCUUAAUUGCUUAUUUAGUCCUUUUCACUUUCUUUAAUCUAUAAUUAAACUUUUACCUCUAUUACAAUUUAAUCAUUUUUCUUAAGUACUCCUAAUUAAAUUAAAUUCACCUAACUAGAACCUAAUUAAACACACAACUAGCUUCGUAAAUAUUUUUAAUAAAUAUUUACGAAUUUGUUUUACUAACACGGAGGCCCAACAACAUAUUUUUUCGAUGCCCAUGAAUUUUAGGUUAUUACAUUUCUCCCCCUUAAUAAAUUUCAUCCUUGAAAUUUACUUGAAAAGAGAUGGGGGUACUGAGAUCUCAUUGUUUCUUCUGGUUCCCAAGUUGCUUCCUCCAGAUUAUGACUUCUCCACAAUACUUUCACUAAAGGAAUCCGGUUAUUUCUUAACUCUUUUACUUCCUGGACUAAUAUCUGAACCGACUCUUCUUCAUAAGAUAAAUCAAGUCGAAUUUCUAUAUCUUCAGUAGAAAUGACAUAGGAAUGAUCCGAUCUAUAUCUCUGUAGCAUUGAAACAUGAAAAACAUCAUGGAUUUUUUGUAGUUCCGGAGGUAAAGCUAAUCGAUAAGCAAUUGACCCAAUUCUUUCCACGAUCCCAUAUGGCCCAAUAAAAUGAGAGCUCAGUUUUCCUUUCCGCCCAAACCUCAAGAUUUUCUUCCAAGGCGACACCUUAAGAAAUACUUUAUCACCGACAAAAUACUUUAUAUCCCGACGCUUCAAAUCUGCAUAUGAUUUCUAUUUAUCAAAAGCUGCUUUUAAUCUCUCUCAAAUAUUCUUAUAUAUUUCUUUUGUUUCUUGAAUUAACUCCAACCCAAUUAUUUUUCUUUCACUCAAUUUCAUCCAACAUACAAGCUACCAACAUUUUCGACCACAUAGAGCCUCAUACGGAGCAAUUUGAAUACUUGAUUGGAAACUAUUAUUAUAGACAAACUCUGCCAAUGGUAAAUAACAUUCCUAACCUGAGUCAAAAUCAAUGAUACAAGCUCGUAGCAUGUCUUCUAGAAUCUAAAUCACCCGUUCAGAUUGUCCAUUAGUUUGUGGAUGGAAAGUUAUACUGAAAUUAAGUCGAGUACCCAAAGACUCAUGCAAUUGUCUCUAAAACCUCGAUGUAAAUCGUGGAUCCCGGUCAGAGAUUAUAGAUAAAGGAAUACCAUGUAAUCUCACAAUCUUCCGAAUAUAAACCUCAGCAAGCUUUUGAAGUGAUUAAUCAGUUCUGACUACUAUAAAAUGAGUUGACUUUGUAACUGGAUCAACAAUCACCCAGAUGGCAUUUUUCUUACUUGCUGAUAAUGGUAGCCCCGUCAUAAAAUCCAUUAUAAUAUAGUCCUAUUUCCACUCGGGAAUAUUAAUAGGCUGUACUAAUCCAGUAGGAACCUAAUGCUCUGUAACGCCUCAAAAUCUCGAACUUUCUUAUUAUUUUGGUUUUGAUAAAAUGUGUGCUUAAUAUUCCUAGUUAAGUGCUAAUUAUGUGUUACUAGGCUUGGGUUAGUUUUGGGGUUCGAACUUAGGGGUGAAGGAAAUUAUAGUUUACUAACCAAAAGAACCUUAUUGGCUAGUGGGUUGGUUUUUAAAUAAAUGAAGAAGGAUUUGGACACAAAAAGCCUUAUGUUGGAGUGGCAAGUGGCGUCACAUGUGGGCUUUAAAUGUGGCGUCACAUGCAUGACAAGGAGGUUCGGAGUUCGAAUCCCUCUUUGCUCAAAAUGAGGAUUUAUUUUUGCUCUAUAGAUGGUCAGUAGUGGCAUUGGAUAUAAACUCUAUAGGGAGUGAUAAGAGGAGAAAUUUAAGGAAAUGAUUAAGGAGCUAUUAGGGAGGAAAAUUAGAAGAUGAUGAGUGAAGAGAGGUGGAGCCAAAUUGGGAAUUUGAGGAUAAGAAAUUCAACUAUAGACUAUAUAUAGGUGCCGAUUGUGGGGAUGCCAGGCUAAUGUCGAACUCUCCCUCUCUAUGUUACCAAAAACACCUUUCUCUCUAAAGAUCUAAAAGCCAAAAUCCCUUGUUCUUCUCUUCUUCUUUGUGCCGAAUAACCUUUUUCACCAUACAAAUCUCAAAAGCUGAAUACCUUCUGUGCCGCCACUACUCCCUCUACUUCGGCCAAUUCUAGUGUAAGUGCUUACUUUUUCAAUAGGUUUUUACUAUUAUCGAUUACUCUUAUCCCUUACUCUUUCUAAAUCAGUUUUGGUAGGGAUUAGUAUUGAAUCUCAGUCUUUUGGUCUUCUGUCGAUUUGCUCCUUAGGUGUUGGGACUUUGGUAAGUGUUCUUCACUUUGGUAAGGAUUGGCCAAAUGGGCUUUAGUAGGAAAUGGUGACUUAUGUUGGAUACAAGUCACCCAUUAUGUUUUUAACGAUAAAGGUUAAUGCAAAUCUGGGAAGUACUUGUGAUUAGUGAUCAAAGGAAAGCUAUUAAGGCUUGGCAUUUCAGUUAAGGUUAAGGUGAGAUUUCGGGUAUUAGUAAAAGUAUUCGAUAAGUAUGUGUGAUUAAUCAUUGAGUGACAUCGAUUGUAGGUUCAUGGCUAGAUAGAUUGCAACACGCUUUAUUACCAGGUGUGUACAUACACUACACACACACAGUAGAUCGGCAAAUCCCGAAAUGUCGAAAAGUCGAAAUGCCGAAAAGCUAAAACUUUGGCUACAAUAGACUUGCGAGUGCGCGAAUACUCGUAAGGGGAAACCGAUAGGUUAUCAGAGGCCCCAUGAGCAAUACCAUGGACUUGGGCCGUGUUUUGGCCAACCGGGCUAAAUGAGCCCGAUGGGCUGCAGAGCCCAUAAUAGGCAAAAUUGGAAACUUGAUACUAAGUGAUGAGAAAUUGUAUGAAAGCAUGACUGUGAAUGUGAUUUGGGCCUAAUGGGCCAUACGAAUGUGAUUUGGGCAUAAUGGGUCAUAUGAAUGAGAUUGGGCCUAGUGGGCCAUAUACAUGUAUGUAAACUUGUUUGGGCUUUGUAAGGGGGUUAUGGGCGUAGUAACUGAAACUGCUUAAAUGGAAAUAAAAAUUAAUUAAUUAAUUGCAACCGUGGAUAAGUCAUAAGGUUAAGGUGUGGCAAUGGGUAUAUGCAUGUCUAGGAUUGGAUCUAGGGAGAGCUUAGUACUUAAGCGGUCUUAAUGACUCACCUCCUCUUCUCUAGAAUCCUACCUGGUGCAGAGUAUCUGUUCACUUUAGCCAACGAAGACUUGUUAACGGGCCAAGGUAAGUAAUAAACCCAUAAUAAAGAGAAAUUAUCGAAAUGCCCUUAAGGGCGAAAAUGACUAAAAUACCCUUACAUGUGGAAUGUAAGAUUUAUGGAUGUUACAUGUAUACUUGCUGCAUUUAUAUGAUAUUCUGUUAGGUUGCAUAUAGGAUGGGAAUUAUGGAACGGAGGAAGUAUAUAAGGAUCGCAUGGUUGCUUAACAAUCGUGGAUCCACCGACGGCUAUUAAGCCCAAUAUGUGAUUAGCAGCUUGCUGUAAUGAGGGUAGUACCGCAAUCGGGCUACCAUUGAUGUGUAUCUGAUGGGUGGGUCGAUAUUUAUAUCCCCACAUGAUGUGUACUGGGGGACAGAGUUGGUGUAUAGCAGUUGGAAUAUUGGGGUGGGUUGCAUAGCAUUGCAUGUGUGACAUUCUGGUGAUUGAUGAUUGCUUGAGACUCUUCGAGGGUUGUACACAUUGAGUUUUCGUAAACUCACCCUCUCUAUUAUUUUUCUCAGGAGAUGGCCAGUAGGAGGUUCGACGGAUGGAGGGACUCUGAGGUGGCCAGCUAGCAAGACGACUUGGACAUGUUUUUAUUAUUAUUAUAUAGUUUCUAGUUUAUUAAGUUAUUUCAGACUGGAUUGUAAUAAGGUAUUUCCUUUGGUUAUUAUUCUAAAUUAGGACUAUUAUUUUUAUGCUUUAUAUUUAUUUUUGAACAUAGGUUCCUAAACCUUAACUGUUUUUAUUGAAUACUACGUUUCCGCAACUCAAUUUUUAAAUGAAAAGUUUUCAUAAAUCAUCUGUUUUAAAUAAAGCUUCUGCAACUAAAAAGAGAUUUUACAAGUAUUUAAGGUUUUAAAAAUUUAAAGAAGGGUUUUCAAUGAAAAUAAGGUUUUCGCUAAAACACUUCAAUGUGACACGUUAGAUCUAGCCAUAACGUCCGGGCUGGGUUGGGGCAUUACAUAUAGUGGUAUCAAAGCUCAAGUUACAAAACUCGGGCUGUGAAGUGAGCCUUAUUAUUUGGGUUUUAUUUUAUUUUUUAAAAAAUUUGAUCACAAUGUUUUGGAAGAAAAAUCUUGCUGUGCGGCACACCGAGCAUCCGACGUCGAGCCAAGUAAGUUCUUUUACUAUUAAGCUUGUUUAAUUUGAUAUACUGUAGAUAGUUAGUGGGCUACUUUAGAUGAUUAUACUAAGGAUUUUAGAUUGAAACUGAAGCCCGUAGGACCUUGAAACUGUAGAGGAUUUACGAAAACAACCUUCUUUUUAAUACUUUCAUAAAAUAUCGGUUUAAUUAUUAAAACUAAUUAAAACUUCAUAAAAUUUCUAAUCCAAGCAAUACGUGAAUCAACGAUGAUUGCUAGAAGAUGUGUAAGAGGCCGUGGCCGAGGCCGCGGAAGUGUUAGGACUGGAUCGUCGACAUCGGGCCAUAUGCCCAAUGUUAGAGUAGAAGAGGCUUCGGCCUAACCCAUGGCUAAGACUAGACCAUAUGAUCGGGCUGCGGGGGAAGAUGCAUUAUCGCAGGCAAUACUGAGGAUUUUGGAAAGGGUUACAGGGCCCAAUCAUGGCACGAGAAAUCGGGGGUCCAUUUCGGAGCGAUUUCGAUCAACUGGGGCUAAGAUCUUCAAUGGCAUUGCUGGUGUGGCUCCUAACAUUGCUGAAUAUUGGUUGGAGGCUACUCAAAGGAUAAUGGAAGACUUGGACUAUUCACAUGAACAAAAGUUGAAAGGGGCAGUGUCACUACUUAGGGAAGAAGCUUACCAGUGGUGGCUGACGGUGAAAAAGGGCACCCAAUCUAAGCAGGUCACUUGGGAGUUUUUCAAAACUGCGUUUCAAGAAAAGUAUGUGGGUGCGAGUCAUGUGGAUGCUAGAAGGAAGGAGUUUCUGAACCUGAUCCAGGGAAACAAAUCUGUGACGGAGUAUGAGGCGGAAUUUCUAUGCCUUAGUAGGUAUGCAAGAGCUAUAGUGGCAACAGGCUAUGAACGUUGCGUUAGGUUUGAGGAUGGUCCUAGGGAUAGCCUCAGAGUAUUGAUAGCUCUAUAAAGGGAGUGAGUUUUCUCGGAGUUGGUUGAGAAAGCAAAGAUAGUGGAAGAGGUGAAGCACUGAGUGCUUAAAUCGAGAAAAAGAAAAAGGUAAAAAUAAAAGGGAAGUUGAGACUCAUGGUGUGGGAUAGAUGCCUAGGGCUAGGGCCAGAGUUAAUGGGCCAGUGAGAACAAGGCCCCCUGCUGUUAAUAUAGGGGUGCCACCUUGUGCUGAUUGUGGGAAAGGUUUUGUAGGCGAGUGUCGGAAGAGGAUGAGAGCUUGUCUAGCUUGUGGGUCUAUGGAGCAUAUAAUUAAGAACUGCCCUAGAAUGCUAGUUCAAGUGGUAGGCUUGGGCCGAGGUGGUGUUUAGCCUCCAAGGGGUGGUCAGCUGUCGCCAAGGGGCCGAGGGCAGGCCAGGGGCUGUAACGGCAAUAGACUUAGACGUGGAGCACCAGUAGAAAAUACUGGCCAUGUUGAGGCGAGACAGCAAACUUUGGUUUAUGCUACUCGUCGCCGAGAAGACGAGGAUGCUCUAGAUGUGAUAACAGGUAUGUUCUUUAUACAUGAGUUACCUUACACUGUAUUGAUUGAUAUUGGAUCGACGCAUUCAUAUGUUGCAUGCAAUAUGACUGAACCUUUGGGUGAUAUGUUUAAAAUUACUGCGAAUGAGAUUACUGUGAUAAGUCUGUUAGGUCAGUCAGUGGGAGUGAAUAAGUUGUUUAGGGAGGUACCCUUAGUAGUCCAAGGGGUUACCUUUUUAGCGGAUUUGAUGGAACUGCCGUUUAGCGAGUUUGAUUUAAUCUGGGGUAUGGAUUAGUUGAUGAAACACCGAGCCACCUUGGAUUGCGCUGCUGAGCGAAUGGUGUUAAAAACGACUGAGGAUAAGGAGGUGGUGGUGUUUGGGGAAUGCCAGAAUUAUCUAUCGAAUGUGAUUUCGGUAUUAAGGGCUGAGAAGUUGGUAUGAAAGGGAUGCGAGACCCAUUUGGCUUAUAUUAGCGAUACGGAGGUUGAGAGUCUUACUGUUAAGGAGUUGAGGAUAGUUAAGGAAUUUUUUGAUGUUUUUCCCAAUGAGCUGUCAGGGUUGCCACCUAGUAGAGAAGUAGAAUUUGGGAUCGAGUUAUUACCUGGCACGGCUCCGGUGUCCAUCGCCCUUAUCGGAUGGCGUCGAAAGUGUUGGUAGAACUUAAAGCACAGAUUCAGGAAUUGUUGGAUCGAUGAUUCAUCUGACCAAGUGUGUCUUUGUGGGGAGCACCAGUGUUAUUCAUAAAGAAGAAAGACGGGACGUUGCGAAUGUGCAUCGACUACCGGCAGUUGAACAAGUUAACUAUUAAAAACAAGUACCCUCUACCGAGAACUGAUAACCUUUUUGAUCAGUUUAAGGGAGCUUCUAUUUUCUCGAAGAUUGAUCUGUAUUCGGGGUAUCACCAAUUGAGGGUUAAAGAGGCGGAUGUUUAUAAGACGACUUUCAAAACUCGUUAUGGGCACUACGAAUUCUUGGUGAUGCCAUUCAAGCUAACGCACGCACCUGCCGCUUUCAUGGAUCUCAUGAAUCGGGUCUUCCAACCUACCUGGAUCGAUUUGUGGCAGUUUUUAUAUAUGACAUUUUAGUGUACUCAAGAGAUGAGGAUGAGCAUGAUGCACACUUAAGGAUUGUGUUGUAGACUUUGAGGGAGAAGCAGCUGUAUGCCAAAUUCAGUAAGUGUGAAUUUUGGCUAAAGGAGGUUACUUUUCUAGGGCAUGUGGUGUUAGCUGAGGGGAUUUAAGUGGAUCCCCGGAAAAUUGAAGCAGUGUUAGACUAGAAAACACCCAAGUCAGUGUUAGAAAUCCAAGUUUUCUGGGCUUGGCAGGGCACUAUAGGCGGUUUGUUGAGGGCUUUUCAUUAAUUACUGCACCGUUAACUAAGUUGUUGAGGAAGGGGGUAUCGUUUGAAUGGACGGACAAGUAGCAAGAGAGUUUUGGAAAGCUUAAGAAGGUCUUAACUGAGGCUCCUGUGUUGAUUCAGCCAGAGCUUGGGAAGGAGGUUACGAUUUUUAGUGACGCGUCGCAUGUGGGCUUGGGCUGUAUUGAUGCAAGAAAGAAAGGUGGUUGCGUAUGCGUCACGGAAACUUAAGACUCACAAGGUGAAUUACCCAACCCAUGACUUGGAAUUAGCCGCGGUGGUCUUCGCACUAAAAUAAUAGAGGCAUUAUUUAUACGGAGAGAGGUGCAUAAUUUGUUCGGACCAUAAGAGUUUGAAGUACCUCCUCACCCAGAGGGAGCUAAACCUUAGGCAGUACAGGUGGGUGGAAUUAUUUAAGGAUUAUGAUUGUACGAUUGAAUACUAACCUGAAAAAACAAAUGUGGUAGCUGACGCGUUGAGUCGUAAGGUUAAGUCGGGCUUGAGGGAUAUGCUUGCCUGUUUAAGUUUGUUGGAUGAUGGUAGCUUGUUAGCUGAACUUCAUGUAAAGCCGAUGUGGGUUGAGUAGAUAAGAUAAGCAAUUAGUGGAUGAGACUUUGGGUGCUCGUUUUAGACAAGUAGAGAAUAGGGAGACGUUAGACUUUGGGAUAAAUAGUGAAGGAGUGUUGUUUUUCUGCUGGAGAAUAUGUAUACCAAAGGAUGAUAAUCUAAGGCAGUCUAUUUUGUGGGAAGCACAUAGCAGUCUCUAUGCUAUGCAUCCUGGUGGAAACAAGAUGUAUCGGAAUUUGUGUGAGCUUUAUUGGUGGCCUGGACUUAAGCGCAAGGUUACGAAGUUCGUAAGUAAAUGCUUGGUUUGUCAAAAGGUAAAGGCGGAGCAUCAGUUGCCUUCAAGAUUGCUUCAGCCAGUAAAGAUUCCACUCUGGAAGUGGGAAAUGAUUACUAUGGAAUUUGUUAGUGGGCUACCUUGACGCCUACUAAGAAAGACUCGAUAUGGGUUAUAGUGGAUCGGUUAACCAAGUUUGCCUAUUUUGUACCGGUCUGCACCGAUUACUCGUUACACAAGCUGGCUAAGUUGUAUAUGGCGGAGAUUGUAAGGUUGCAUGGAGAGCCAGUUUCCAUAAUAUCUGAUAGGGACCUACGUUUCACUUCGCGAUUUUGGAAAAAGCUGUAUAAGGUGUUGGGUACUAGGUUGAACUUCAGUACGGCAUUCCACCCUCAAACUGAUGGACAGUCGGAGAGAGUGAUCCAAGUUUUGGAAGAUAUGUUGAGAGGGUGUGUAAUUGAGUUCCCGGGUAGUUGGGAACACUAUUUACCGUUAGCCGAAUUCGCGUACAAUAAUAGUUAUCAAGUGAGUAUUGGGAUGGCUCCGUAUGAAGCACUGUAUGGACGAAGGUGUCGAACUCUAACAUGUUGGACAGAAUUGGACGAAUGAAGAGUUUUGGGCCCUGAGCUAGUAGAAGAUAGUGAGGAUAAGGUAAAAUUAAUUCGGGAUAGGUUGAAGGAGGCAUUGGAUAGGUAGAAGUCGUAUGCUGACCUUAAGCAUCGAGAGAUAGAGUAUGCAGUGGGGGACUUAGUUUUUCUUAAGGUGUCACCAUGGAAGAAGGUGUUAAGGUUUAGAUGGAAGGGGAAACUAAGCCCAAGGUUUAUUGGGCCAUAUCGGGUUGUGAGGCAGAUUGGGCCAAUCGCUUAUCAGCUGUAAUUACCUUCUGAACUGAGCCAAAUUCAUGACGUGUUUCAUGUUUCCAUGCUAAGACGGUAUCGCUCGGAUCCUUCACAUGUUGUGGCAGUUGAGAGAAUUGAGGUUAGACCAGACCUAACUUUCGAGGAGGAGCCCAUACAAAUAAUUAGACGUGACGUUAAGGUACUGAGAAGGAAGUCCGUUCCUUUAGUUAAAGUGCUUUGGCGUAAUCACAAGCUGAGGAGGCUACUUGGGAACCUAAGGAAGCAAUGCAUAUCAAUACCCUCAACUGUUUGGAUCAGGUAAUUGAGGACGAAAUUCUUUUAGGGGGUAGAGUUGUAAUGCCUCAAAAUCUUGAACUUUCUUAUUAUUUCGAUUUUGAUAAAAUGUAUGCUUAAUAUUCCAAGUUAAGUGCUAAUUAUGUGUUACUAGGCCUGGGUUAGUUUUGGGGUUCGAACUUAGGGGUGAAGGAAAUUAUAGUUUAUUAACCAAAAUAACCUUGUUGGCUAGUGGGUUGGUUUUUAAAUAAAUGAAGGAGGAUUUGGACACAAAAAGCCUUGUGUUGGAGUGGUAAGUGGCGUCACAUAUGGGGCUUAGAGGUGGCGUCACAUGCAUGACAAGGAGGUCCGGGGUUCGAACCCCUCAUUGCUCAAAAUGAGGAUUUAUUUUUGCUCUAUAGAUGGUCAGUAGUGGCGUUGGAUAUGAACUCUGUAGGGAGUGAUAAGAGGAGAAAUUUAAGGAAAGGAUUAAGGAACUAUCAGGGAGAAAAAUUAGGAGAUGAGGAGUGAAGAGAGGUGGAGCCAAAUUGGGAAUUUGGGGAUAGUAAAUUCGACUAUAGUCCAUAUAUAGGUGCCGAUUGUGGGGAUUCCAGGCUAAUGCUGAAUUCUCCCUCUCUAUGUUACCAGAAACACCUUUCUCUCCAAAGAUUUAAAAGCCGAAAUCCCUUGUUCCUCUCUUCUUCUUUGUGUCAAGUAACCUUUUUCACCAUACAAAUCUCAAAAGCUGAAUACCUUUUGUGCCACCACUACUCCCUCUACUUCGGCCAAUUCUAGUGUAAGUGUUUACUUUUUCAAUCGAUUUUUGCUAGUAUUGAUUACUCUUGUCCCUUACUCCUUCUAAAUCGGUUUUGGUAGGGAUUAGUAUUGAAUCUCAGUCUUUUGGACCUCUGUCGAUUUGCUCCUUAGGUUGUGGGACUUUGGUAAGUAUUUUUCACGUUGGUAAGGAUUGGCCGAAUGGGCUUUAGUAGGAAAGGGUGACUUUUGUUGGAUACAAGUCACCCAUUAUGUUUUUAACGAUAAAGGUUAAUGCAGAUCUGAGAAGUACUCGUGAUUAGUGAUCAAAGGAAAGCUAUUAAGGCUUGGCGUUUCAGGUAAGGUUAAGGUGAGAUUUCAGAUUUUGGUAAAAGUAUUUGAUAAGUAUGUGUGAUUAAUUAUUGAGUGAUAUCAAUUGUAGGUUUAUGGCUAGGGAGAUCGUAGCACGCUUUAUUACCAGGUGUGUAUAUACACUGCACACACACAGUAGAUCGAAAAAUCUGGAAAUGUUGAAAAGUCGAAAUGCCGAAAAGUCAAAAUUUUCGCUACAAUAGACUUGCGAGUGCGUGAACACUUGUAAAGGGAAACUGAUAGGUUAUUAGAGGCCCCAUGAGCGAUACCAUGGACUUGGACCGUGUUUUGGCCAACCAGGCCUGAAUGGGCUAAAUAGGCCUGAUGGGCUGUAUGGCCCAUAAUAGGCAAAAUUGGCUACUUGAUACUAAGUGAUGAGAAAUUGUAUGAAAGCAUGACUAUGAAUGUGAUUUAGGCCUAAUGGGCCAUACAAAUGUAAUUUGGGCCUAAUGGGCCAUAUGAAUGAGAUUGGGCCUAGUGGGCCAUAUACUUUGUUUGGGCUUUGUAAGGGGGUUAUAGGCCUAGUAUCUGAAACUUCUUAAACGGACAUAAAACUUAAUUAAUUAAUUGUGACUGUGGAUGAGUCAAAAGGUUAAGGUGUGGCAAUGGGUAUAUGCAUGUCUAGGAUUGGAUCUAGGGAGAGCUUGAUACUUAAGCAGUCUUAAUGACUCACCUCCUCUUGUCUGGAAUCCUACUUGGUGCAUAGUAUCUGUUCACUUUAGCCAACGAGGACUUGUUAACGGGCAAAGGUAAGUAAUAAACCCAUAAUAAAGAGAAAUUACUGAAAUGCCCCUAAGGGCAAAAAUGACUAAAAUACCCCUAUGUGUGGAAUGUAAGAUUUAUGAAUGUUACAUGUAUACCUGCUACAUUCAUAUGAUAUUCUGUUAGGUUGCAUAUGAAGAUCGCAUGGUUGCUUGACAACCGUGGAUCCACCGGCGGUUAUUAAGCCCAAUAUGUGAUUAGCAGCUUGCUGCUAUGAGGGUAGUACCACAAUCGGGCUACCAUUGAUGUGUAUCGAAUGAGUGGGUCGAUAUUUGUAUCUCCACAUGAUAUGUACCGGGGGACGGAGUUGGUGUAUAGCGGUUGAAAUAUUGGGGUAGGUUGCAUAGCAUUGCAUGUAUGACAUUAUGGUGAUUGAUGAAUGCUUAAGACUCUUCGAGGGUUGUACACACUGAGUUUUCAUAAACUCACCCCCUCUUUUAUUUUUCUCAGGUAAUGGCCAGUAGGAGGUUCGACGGAUGGAGGGACUCUGAGGUGGCCAGCUAGCAAGAUGGCCUGGACAUGUUUUUUUUUUAUAGUUUCUAGUUUAUUAAGUUAUUUUAGACAGGAUUGUAAUAAAGCCUUUCCUCUGGUUAUUAUUCUAAAUUAGGACUAUUAUUUUUAUGCUUUAUAUUUAUUUUUGAACAUGGGUUCCUAAACCUUAACUGUUUUUAUUGAAUACUAUGUUUUCGCAACUCAAUUUUUAAAUGAAAAGUUUUCAUAAAUCAUCUGUUCUAAAUAAAGCUUCUGCAACUGAGAAAAGAUUUUACAAGUAAUUAAGGUUUUCAAAUUUAAAGAAGGGUUUUCAAUGAAACAAGUUUUUCGCUAAAACACUUCAAUGUGACACGCUGGAUCCGGCCAUAACGUCCGGACCGGGUUGAACUGUUACAUGCUUUGCCUUUACUCAUUGACAAGUCAAACACUUAUAUAAUCAACUAUAUCUCUUUUCAUCUCUGACCACCAGUACAACUCCCGCAAAUUCUGGUACAUUUUUGUUCCUCCGGGGUGUAAAGCAAACACGCUAUCAUGUGCUUCUUGGAGAAUCUACUCUUUUAACUCAGAAACAGCUGGAACAAAAAUCUAAUUUCGGAACCUUAAGCAAUCAUGUUCAUCAAUGCUGAAAUUUUCUACCAUACUAUUCUGUACCAUUUCUCUUUUCUUCAUCAACUUGUCAUCCUCUAGCUGUGCUGCUCUAAUCUAAUCAAACAUCAUUGGUUUAACUCUCAACUCAGCCAAAAAACUUCCAUCAUCACUGAUACUGUGUUGUGCAAACAUUGCUCGCAAUUCAACUGCAGCUUUCCUACUCAAUGCAUCAGUUACUACAUUUGCCUUUCUCGGAUGAUAAUUUAUAACAGAAUCAUAGUCUUUUAGAAGCUCAAUCCACCGACGUUGUCUCAAGUUCAAAUCAUUUUGAGUUAAAAGAUAUUUGAGACUUUUGGGAUCAGUAUAAAUAUAACAUUUCUCACCAUACAGAUAGUGUCUCCAGAUCUUCAAUGCAAAAAUUAUAGCAGCUAACUCCAGAUCAUAUGUCGGGUAAUUACGCUCGUGUGGUUUUAGUUGACAAGAUGCAUAAGCUAUUACCUUUCCAUCUUGCCUUAACACACAACCCAAACCAUUUAAAAAAGCAUCACUGUACAUAAUAAAAAUUUUUCCCUAUUCUGGCAAUGUCAAAACUGGUGCCUCAGUUAACAUUCGUUUCAACAUCUCAAAACUUCUCUAACACUGAUCAUCCCAAAUAAAAGGAACAUUCUUUUGUAGCAGCUUUGUCAUCGGUAAUGCUAUCUUCGAAAAUCCAUUUACAAAUCUUUUAUAGUAUCUAGCUAAUCCUAAGAAACUACAUACCUCAGACACAUUCCUCGGUGCUUUUCACUGAACAAUUGCUUCAACGUUUUUCGGAUCAACUCUGAUUCCAUCUGCAGACACAACAUGUCCCAAAAAUAUCAUCUCUGAUAACAAAAAUUCACACUUGCUAAGCUUCCCAUAUAACUAUUUCUCCCGUAAUAUCUAUAAAACAAUUCUGAGAUGCUGAUCUUGUUCUGAUUCUGACUUUGAAUAAACCAAUAUAUCAUCAAUGAAGACCACCACAAACUGAUUUAAAUACGGUUGAAAAAUACAUUUCAUAAGAUCCAUAAAAGCGACUGGGGCAUUAGUCAAUCCGAAAGGCAUUACCAAAAAUUCAUAGUGGCCAUACCGUGUUCGAAAUGCUGUCUUCGGUACAUUGCUUUCUUUCACUUUCAAAUGAUAGUAGCUUGAUCUCAAAUCAGUCUUCGAAAACAUAGAAGCUCAUUUCGACUGAUCGAAUAAAUCAUCAAUGCGAGGUAACAUAUAUUUAUUCUUGAUCAUCACCUUAUUUAACUACCGGUAAUCAAUACAAAGUCACAUCGAACUGUCUUUCUUUUUAACAAAUAAGACCGGUGCUCUCCACGAUGAAAUACUAGAUCGAAUGAAGCCACAGUCUAACAAAUCUUGUAACUGUACCUUCAACUCUUUUAAUUCUGUGGGUGACAUACGAUAUGGAGGUAUUGAAAUCGGAGCUGUACCAGGAUAAAUAUUCAAUCGAAAACUCAAACUCUUUUUCUUGUGGUAAUCCUAGUAGUUCUUCAGGAAAAACAUCAAGGAACUCACAAACAGUUCAAAUUUUGUUGCGUUGGCUUACAACAGAAUCAGAAUUGAUAACAUAAGCCAAAUAAGCUACACAACCCUGAUGAAGUAGUUUAUUAGCCUGAAUCACUGAAAUGAUAAGUGUUGACCCAUUAGUAUGAAUACCAUUUACCUCAAUCUUGCCUCCAUCUUCAGUUUGAAUACUAAACUUCUUUUUAUAACAAUCUAAAACCACUCUAUGCUCAAACAACCAAUCCAUUCCCAGAAUUAUAUCAAAAUCACUGAAUGGCAUUAUCAACAAGUUAACAGAGAAAACUCUAUUUUGUAUCAUUAACGGGCAUCUUCGACAUACUUGGUUUAUAGACACUGUAUGUCUCAACGGAUUAGCACCACUAUAGAUACUCUAGACAUUUCAGAUUCUAACUUUCUCGACUCAAGUAGUUUUGAAUUAAUGUAUGAGUGUGAAGACCUGGGGUUAAUUAAAGCAUAAACAAGUUCUGAAUACAGUAAAAAUAUACCUGUUACCACGUCAUGAGCAUCGCCUUCUUCUUGAGUCCGGACUACAUAUGCUCUAGCCGGUACUCUGGCUUCUGGCUUCUGACUGCUGAGUAACUAUAUUGCUCCCUCUCUUUGCACUCCUCAUUUACAAACUGGACCGCCUGUACCUGAUCCUCUGCCUCUAGCAGUAGAUACUGACCUUUGUGAUGUCACAAGUGCAGCACUUUCACCUUUCGGGCAAUCUCUAAUAAAAUGAUCUAUAGACCUACAUAAAAAAUAGCAUCUAGUUAAUUUUCAGCAUUCACCUCUAUGUUUCUUCCCGCAGAGCUCACAAUCUGGAAUCUCAAUGUCCCGAGAUGAACCUCUCACGCAACCAGUGGAGACUGUUGUCUGUUUCCCUCGACUUCUAUCACCUCUGUCUGAUCUAAAAUUGGGUCUCCAACCACAGCGAGAUUUUCUUGAUCUUUUCGGUUGAGGAUUCAAACUAGUAGUUCCAGUACGUUUCCCAGUCGAUCGAGUAAUUUUGGGCUUUUUAUCGAGACUUUAAACUUGCUCCACCAUUUUUGCUCUUUCAACCAUAUCUACAAAUUUAGUAAUCCGAUGAGAUACCAACUGUACCUUUAAUUCAUCUCGCAAACCCCGUAGAAACCGUUUACAACUGUCAGCUUCUGUUGAUACAAAUUUUGAAGCAUAUUUGCUAAGUCUAGAAAAUUUCCGUUCAUAAUUCACCAUUGACAUCUCGCCUUGUUUUAGCAUUGAAAACUCUUACUUUUUAUCUUCUAUACAGUUCUCCAACAUAUUUCUUCUGAAAUUCUUUCUAAAAUAAAUCCCAAGUUACCUGCUCUGUCGGUAAAUGCCGGAUCACUGAUUCCCACCACAAAUAGGCUUCCCCUUGUAAUAAUGAGACAGCACACAACAAACUCUCCUGGGGGUACAUUCUAAUUGCUGUAAAACUCUCUUUGUUGACUCCAUCCAAUUUUUUACCGUGGAUGGAUCAACUCCUUUCAGGCCCAAAAAUUCAGUGGCACCGUAUUUACACAAUUCUUUGAUUGGGGCCCGUCUAGUAGAAGGAGUAGAUGUAGUAGUAGGUGCAGUCCCUGCUACUCGUUGCAAGGCAUCGGCUAUAACUCUCAGUAAAUAGGAUUCAUCUCUGUCUCUAACAUUUUCCCAUUCUAUAUUAAGAGGUUGAUUACCUAAUGGAUUUAUAGUCGAUGUAGCUGAUUCUGUUUCAUCUAAUUCUCUAUCUCCGGUGUCAAUUUCUUUUUCUACAUCGUCUAUAUGUUCAUCUGACAUUUUAACUAUAAAACAAAACAAAUAAUUAUAUCAGCAUCCAAAUCUCGACUUAGUUUCGACUCAAUAGUGUCAUGUACCUCUAAACUCAUUUAUGAGCUUGAUUUAGUCUGAGAAUCGACUGAACCUGAAUAGCUCUGAUACCAAUAAUUGUAACACCCCCUAACCUUAAACCGUUACCGAAACAGGUUACAGAGCAUUACCGAACCUUUCAGACAUAUUACGACCGAACCUUUCAGACAUAUUAUGAACCUUACACAAAUGAAUAACAUACAUUUUGUAAAACAUUCUUAAUGUCCCUUUUAUGGAUUCUUGAGGCCCAAAAUACGUGUUAGAAGUGAAUCGGGACUAAUUUGAGUGCUUGAGAUAAUUUUCAUGAAAUUCUAAUUUUUUUUAUUUUUUUUAUUUUUAACAAAUAAAGGGCUCACACCGUAUAGACCGGACCGUAUGGGCUCAAUAUAACCCUUUUAUAAUCAUCUAACCAACCCCGCAAACUUAAAACAUACCCAAUUCCAACCAAUAUCACAACCAUUACAAUUUUAUAUACAAUUACAUUUAAAACAUAUCGAGACACCAACCUGAUAAUCUAUUCACUAAACAUUUACAAGCAACAUUAAGAUUAGUUUAAAAAUUUCAUUCUAUUUCCAUUUCAAAGUUUAAUAUCAUAUGUGUCAUUUUAUCUUCUUAUUCUUUCAUAUGUCUAUUCAAAUAACAUAUGCCAUCUAUUACAACCAAAAUCCACCAUGACACAUAUACAUAACCUAGGUACAUGCCACAUUUACCAAAAAGAAAUAUAUACAUCACCAAGUUUCUGAGGUUAGGAUUGGCUCUGGAUGCUGGACCGGAUCGUCUACUAACCUGCGCACGAAAAACAAUCGUAUGCUAAGUAUAUUAUACUCAGUGGUAUUACUAUAAUUCAAAUUUGUAAAUCAUGCAAAUAAUUAUACUUAUUCAAUUUAUACUUUUAUCCUUUUAAUAACUGAUACAUAUUAAAUCAAUUUAUUUUAUAAUAAUAGUAACUUUUCAAACUUGUAUCCAAUUGAAUUCAUACAAUAUUUCACUAUCUCAAAAUUCAUUCCAUUCCCACAUCUCAUAUCAAUAUUUCUUUCAUUUCAUAUAUAAAAUCAUUCAAUAGAAUUUAUAUUAUCAAAAUUUAUUCAUUUUUCCUUAUUAAUGUGAUUUGGCCUUUGACGGAUACAUGGAUCCAACCAAACACACCAAUAUGGCACCUAGUGCCUCAUCGAAUAGUAGGAAGUAAUAAGUUGACACCCAGUGCCUCAUCGAAUCUAUCCGAAGUAAUAUAAUGACACCCAAUGUCUCAUCAAAUCGAAGUCCAAGUAACCCUAAACACUUCCAAUCCUAUGGCGUGCCAACUACAUUCGACUUGGCCCGAUUAGUUAAUAGGUUUUCCAAUUCACUUUCUCAAUUCAAUUUCAAUCAAAUUCAUACCAAUCACAAAUUCUCAUAUUUUCAAUUCAAUAUCACAAUAAUUUAUUUAAUUCAAUUCAAAUCACUUUCAAAUUCCAAUCAAUAUACAUUCAAAUAUUCACAUAAUUCAUAAUCCAAUAUCAUUUCUUACCUCAAUUCCACUUGCCACACACAUUAAUUAAAAUUAAAAAAUAAAUAAUAACUAAAUUCGAAUUAUAGUAAUACAAAUCUGAAUUUCUCCAGAGUUAUUCUCCGACAAUCUUUUACUUUCCCUUCUGAGCCAUUGUCUCUGGUUCAAUGUUAGCUACGAAAAUUAAAAUUAAAAUAAUUUACAAUUAUUAAUACAACAAUUAUUCACAUCAAAUACUUGAAUUUCCUAUUUAAUUUCUACCUUAAUUCCAAUUUAAUCCUUAACUAAAAUCAUCUAUUUUUCCAUCCCAAUUCAUACCUUAUUUAUAUUCAAUUUUCAACCAAACUUAAACUUAACUCUCUAAUUUUCAUCAUAAAUGCCUAAUUUUGAAUUUCUUGCAAUUUAGUCCCUAUUACACAAAAUUUAUAGCUUAUUCUACAAUUUAAUCCUUUUCCCACUUCUAACUUGAAAUUCUAUUAAUUCAAUCCCUAAAUCACACUUUUACUCAACAAAAUUAGUAUCUAAAAAUCUAACAACUUCAAAAAUUUCAACAUAUAUCUAGUAGUAUUUUGUUCUAGGAUCAUAGAAACUCAAAAAUUACAAGAAAAUGACUUAAAUUGACUUACCAAUUUGAAUUUGAAACUUUGAAAAUCCUAAAUUCUUUUCUUUUCUUUCCUUUUCUUUCUUCUUUCUCACUAUUUCGUCCCUCAACUAUUAUGUUUCUUUUGUUAUAUAUAUAAUAUAAUAAUAUAAUAAUAUAAUAAUAUAAUAUAAUGUAAUAUUAAUAUAAUAAAAAUAAUAUAUUAUAAUAAAAAUCUUAAGUAAAAAUCUUUGAUAUUUUAAUGUUAAAUUGGCUCAACUAACUAAAAUGGCUUAAUUUCCUAUUUAGUCCUUUUUACUUUCUUUAAUCUAUAAUUAAACUUUUACCUCUAUUACAAUUUAAUCCUUUUUCUUAAGUACUCCUAAUUAAAUCAAAUUCACCUAACUAGAACCUAAUUAAACACACAACUAGCUUCGUAAAUAUUUUUAAUAAAUAUUUACAAUUCGUUUUAUUAAGACGGAGGCCCGACAACACAUUUUUCGAUGCCGGUGAAUUUUAGGUCAUUACAGCAUGUAGUUUAUGCUGAGGGGAUCCGUGUUGAUCUGAGGAAGAUAGAGGUUGUACUAGAUUGGAAACAGCCUAAGAACGUAUCUAAGAUCGGUUCCUUUCUGGGUUUGGCGAGAUAUUAUCAGUGGUUUUUCGAGGGGUUCUCUCUAAUUGCAGCCUCUUUGACUAAGUUUCUGUGUAAGGGUGUUUCGUUUGUUUGGAUUGAUGCAUAAUAAUUAAGCUUUGAGAAGCUCAAGUUUGUUUUGGCUGAAGGUCCUAUUCUGAUACAGCCUGGACUUGGUAAAGUGUUUGUAGUCUAUAGGGAUGCAUCGCAUGUCAGUUUGGGAUGUGUACUGAUGCAAGAUGGAAAUGUUCUGGCUUAUGCGUCCCGUCAGCUUAAGAAACACGAAGGAAACUAUCCGAUGCAUGAUCUCGAGUUGGCUGUGGUGGUUUUUGCGUUGAAAAUCUAGAGACACUAUUUGUAUGGUGAGAGGUGUAUUAUCUGCACUGAUCAUAAGAGUCUCAAGUAUCUCCUUACACAGAAGGAGCUGAAUCUUAGAUAGUAUCGAUGGAUUGAGCUGCUCAAAGAUUAUGACUGCUCGAUUAAAUAUCAUCCCGGUAAGGCUAAUAUGGUGGCCGAUGCUCUCAGUCAUAGGGAUGACUGAUUUGAGAGUGAUGUUUGCUCGUCUUAUUCUAUUCGAUGAUGGGAGUCUUUAGCCGAGUUGCAAGUUAAGCAGACUUGGAUUAGUUAGAUUCGAGAUAAACAAUUUGAGGAUAAGUCUCUGGGUUUGCGAUUUCGUCAGAUUAAGAGUGGUGGUACUUCAAAUCUUGGGCUGAAUGAUGAUGGUGUUCUGUGUGCCGAAUGAUACCGAUUUGAGGCAGUCAAUUCUGAAGGAGGCACAUAGUAGUCAUUAUGCUAUCAUCCUGGUGGUAAUAAGAUGUACCGGGACCUCCAUAAGUUGUACUGGUGGCCAGGGUUGAAAUGUGAGGUUACAAAUUUUGUUGUUCGUUGUCUGACAUGCUAGUAGUUUGAGGCUGAGCACUAGUUACCUUUGGGCUUGUUGCAGCCGGUUAAGAUUCCCUUAUGGAAUUGGGAAUGAAUGAUGAUGGACUUUGUUGGUGGGUUGCCCUUAACACCCAACAAGAAAAAUUCUGUUUGGGUCAUCGUGGAUCGAUUGGCCAAGUCUGCUCACUUUAUUUCAGUUCGGACUGACUAUUCUCUCCAGAAGCUAGAGAAAAUUUAUAUCUUUGAGAUAAUUAGACUGCAUGGGGUUUCUUUUUCAAUUAUUUCUAAUAAAGAUCUGUGCUUCAUAUCUCAAUUUUGGAAGAAGUUGCAUGAGGCUUUGGGUUCAAGGUUGGACUUCAGUACGACGUUCUAUCCUCAAACUGAUGAUCGAUCCGAGAGGCUGAUUCAGAUACUGGAAGAAAUGCUUUGGAGUUGUGUGAUUGAUUUUAGAGGUAGUUGGGAGGAUUAUCUGCCGCUAGCUGAGUUCGCCUAUAAUAAUAGUUUCCAGUUUAGCAUCCAGAUGGUACCUUACGAGGCUUUAUAUGGUUAUAAGUGUCAGGUUUUGGGUCUUGAGUUGGUUUUUGAGACUAAAGACAAGGUUAGACUGAUUCAGGAUCGUCCGAAGGUAGCUUCUGACAGACAGAAAUUUUAUGCAGAUUUGAAGAGGCAUGAUAUUGAGUACUAUGUGGGGGACUUUGUGUUUCUUAAGGUUUCUCCAUGGAAGAAAGUUCUGAAAUUUAGUCGUAAGGUCAGGUUGAGCCUUAGGUUUAUUGGGUCGUAUCGGAUUUUGAAACAUAUGGGACUAGUUACUUAUCAGUUGGAGUUACCUCAGGAGUUAGACCGUAUUUAUGAUGUCUUUCAUGUGUCGAUGUUGAGGCGGUUCUGUUGAGGAGAUCGAGGUUAGACUGGACUUGAGUUUUGAGGAGGAGCCGAUUUAGAUUCUGGAUCGAGAUGUUAAGAUUCUGAGGAGUAAACCCAUACCUUUUGGUGAAGGUUCCGUGGCGGAAUCAUGAUUCCAAAGAGGACACGUGGGAAAAUGAGGACUUAAUGCGUCAGUACUACCCUCAUCCGCUCUGAUCAGGUAAAUUUCGUGGUUGAAAUUUCUUUUAGAGCGUAGAGUUGUAAUGCCCUGACUAAUGUAUUCUUGUUUCUGUAAAUACCUGACAAAAUUGUGUGUCUGCUUCAGUGGUUUCGUGUUCUGGGUGUGUGUGAGAGCUCUUGGGUUCAAGUCUCACAUUUGCUAAAUUUUGGUAUUUUUUUGGAAUUAGGCCUUACCUUUGUUCAGUGGACUUAUAUUAAAUUGACUAUAGACUCAUACCAGAAUGAGCCUGCUGGUUCGAGUGGUAAGGAGGUUGAUGUGUAGAGGGUCUUGUGUUCAAAUCUCUAUGCAAGCAUGAAUGAUAUAAUUUUUACUCGACUGUCUAAUGGUGUUUCAGUGGAGUUAAAAGUCUGAGGAGGUUGUGAUUUAGUGGGUUAGUGGGAGAAAAUUAAAGGAUAUGUUAUCAUAUCUUUUAUUCUUUUUCCUUUUUAUUAAUUUUCUUUUUUCAAAAUUUUGGUUUCUUUCCCCAAAAUUCUGACGUGAUUUCUGCUUCUUUCUCUAUUUUUUCCUUCUGUGUUCUUCCUCUUCAAUCUAGGCCAUCAUCUGUUCUUUCAAAAUUUGUAUUGCGAUUCACAGUGUUCGUUAAUUGACUUGGUAAGUGAAGUUGGGUUUUUGCUAACUUUUGGUUUUAGAAUUUUGGGGCAAUCUUAUUAUUGGCUUGUUAAUGGUUGUAGUUGUUAGAUUCCGUGGCGUAGGAGAAGGUAGUGAGGCAAGGGUUGUCAUUUCAACGGUUUAGUUUAUCCCGGGUGGGUGUUUUCUACGGUGGUUAGUUUUUGGGCAUCAAUCGAUUUAGUUUUGUUAACUCUAUUUUAGUCGCUAAAGGUGUUGGGUAUUCUGAUUUUAGGUGCUGGUGGUCUCGGGGAGUGUUUUUGCAUAAAAAACGUACAAUGUGUGUACCCAAAAUGCAGAAAAACAAGCUUCGAAAAAAGUCAAAAACCCCCAUUGUCGACACCACACGAGGUUGUGUUCACCUCGCACACGGUUGUAUGGUAACUUGAGUGUGGCCUUGUGGGCUACACGGGCUAGGCGAAGUUGGACGUGUGGGCUACAUGCAUAAUUCUGAAAUUUUCCCUAUCGCUCCAACUGACUGUGGGCCUGCUGUAGGGCAUGUAAGGGCUAUCUAAACCCUAAUUUGUAUGCCAAGACAUCCUGGUAGACUUCUCUGAGUAGAGUAUUAAAUGUAUGCUUGUCUAUACUAUUAUCCGUAUAUAAGCAUGCUGAUAAUGUUUAAUCUGUUAUACUGUAUCUGAUAAUUCUGUAUCUUUGACUGGGGGUGGGAUGUGUAUGUAUGGAGGAAGUGAUCUGUUCGACGUAUAUCGCCUAUAUUCUGGCAGCUUGGAUGCAUGUUAUCUGAUAUGCGUAUUAAUGGCACGAUGUGGUGUGUAAGGAUGGGUGGGUGUUUUUAAACCCACAUGGUGUGAUGGGAUGGACGGAGUUGGUGUAUAGAGUAGGAUUUUGGCAUAUUUGUUAUUUGAAUCUGAAUCUAAAUCUGAUAUCUAAAUCUGAAUAUGAAACUAAGUCUGUAUCUGUUUCUGAUUCUAUUUAUAAUACUGUUCAACUGCAUGCUUAAUUCUGUUGGGUUACACACCUAGUUUACAUAAACUCACUUUUGUUUGUCUGUUUUGUCGGGUAAUCCACAGACUUAGACGGAUCAGUGCGACAGAGACUCAGCGGUACCACUUGACCGUAAAUUAUUAAAACUUAAUUAUUUAUGAUUUUGGAUUAAUUUUGAGAGUUUUUAAUUCUGGGACUCUCUGGACUUUAUGGUUUUAUAACUGUUGGUUUUGGAUUUACAUGUUGUUAAUACAUGCUUAAGCAAAACGCUUUUCUCUAAAAAUGACAAUUUGUACGCAAACAAAUGUUUUUCUAAAACACGACUGCAUUUUCAAAAUACACCCGUUUCAAGGCUUCUUCUGUAAUAAGUUUUGGCAAAGGGACUAAUUAGAUCGUGUUUUUAAGUAAAAACAUGAUUGUUUUGACGAGAUAACUCAGUUUUUAAAACCCCGACCUUGUGGCACUUCCAGAUUCAGCCAUAACGUCUAGGUCGGAUUUGGGGUGUUAUAGAUGGUAUAUAACACUUGGCUAUUCUCAUUAAGUUUGUAUACAUUUGAUAGCUAACUUGUAAUGAGUUGUCCUUGCUAAACUUCUUGUUCAAAUUACUCUCUCGCUAAUUCAUUACAAGUUAUCAUUUCUGUGCCCUUAAUGUUGGGAAAACUAUAGAAUUAAAAUGGUAAUCACAAAUCAUGUCAUAAUUGAAUCUCCAAUACAUUCAAAACAUCAAAUAAUACAAAGAGGCUUGUAGUUAAUAUAUAUUCCCAACUUUCUUUGAGGAUUCACUCAUCUUUGUGCAUUGUGGUGGAGCAAGUGGAACAUAUACGCACAUACAAAAAUUCAAAUAUGAGAAAUAUUAAGCUCUUGAUCAAAAACCAAUUGUAAUGAGAAAUAUUUAAAACUUAUUGGCUUGGUGCGUACAACACGUAAAUCAACAUAAUCUCAUGUUGAAAAUGAAUUUUAGUUCUCAUAAGUAAUGGUCUAGACAUUAAUUAGAGGCGUUCGAUCAAUAAUUUCUCUAAACCAUUAUGUGCAUAAAUAACAAACUUUUACAAAAAAAUUUCAAACUCAAACAAUAAAAGACUGAGAUAUAAAUUCCUCAGUAUUAGUAAGAUGAAUUAUCUUAAUUGCAUGAUCUAAAAUUAAUUAUUUAAAUAAACAAUCUUGCAAAUGACAGGUUGCAAGUUGAUAACACAUACGUGAUUUAUUUUGUAGAUGCAUCUACCAAAAUCAUAUAAUAUCAAAAUCAUCCAUGUGGUGGAUAAAUGGGCCCAUAUUCAUUUCAGAAAUACAAGAUAUUAAAUCUCAACUUUAGCUGGUGAGUUUCUAAUAAUCAAUUUUCAUUAAGAACAAGCAACAAAUGAGAAUUCUUUAAAUUAAAGAAUCUUUUGGUUCUUUAAUGAAUGUCCAUAUGAAUUCUCAAUUAAUUUUCACAUCAUAUAUGAUCCAGGAUAGUCUAAUUGGUCAGACUAAGUAGUAAAUGCAUUUAUAUUAACAAACUUCUAGUUUACUUUAACACGCAUUUCAAUUGUACUAAAUUUUAACAAGUUUAUAAUUUUACUAUCAUCAUUUUUACUUUGUAUCCGCAUAUAAAUACUAUUGUGACAUUUACUAUUGGAAAUAUCUAAAUCAAUGUGAAGUCUAUGAUUCUACUGAGUCAAUAAAUAUAAUUUUCAAAUAAUUAUAUGCAAUAUUCGCUUUAGGGAAUAUGUCAAAAUCUUCAAAUGUAAGGCAUUUGGUCUAGUGGUAUGAUUCUCGCUUCAGAUUCGAGAAGUCCCAAGUUCAAUUUAAAAUACUUUUAAAACCCUUUUAACAAGAGUUUUGCAUAAUCAAUUAACUACCAAGAAUAACUGCCUAGGUCAUGUAUAGAAACAAGACUAUAUUAAAUAUAUCAAUAAACGCCACAUCUCAAACAUAAAAAAUAUAAUAUAAUGAAAAACUAACAAUUUUUUUUUCAUAAUCAUCAUCAUAAACAUGUAUGAAAUUUAAUUCAAAAUCCAACCAUUCAAGAUCAUAGAACUUUUAAUUUACAAUUUCUUAUGUCAUUUCUCUAAAUAAUUAACAAAUGUAAUAAUAUAAAAUGUAUGAACUACUACCUUUAACAAUUCUUUGAACUAAAUCAAAUCCGAAUAACCAUAAAAUUCAUUGGUUUGUUAACAUAAAUUUGCAUACUAAAUAUGUUUUAAUCAAAUAUAUUAUUUAAUUAUAAAACCUAUUAUAACGACAUAAUUUUGGUAGUAGACUUUGAAUCCAAUCAAAAUCUAUUAAUAGCAAACUUUAAGAGUGAAUUUUAUUUUCCAAGUGUACAAUAGGUACAUAACCAAUGACUCUUCAUAAAUAAAUUGUCUCUCUUGUUAAAAAUUCUUGGAAAUUCUUGUUAUUUUCUUGCUUUCUUCAUUUUUCCACUUCUGGUGGUGAAAAAAUUUAUUACAACCAUUCCCAUUGACUAUUAUUGUAGUCCAAUUUACUACAUAAACAUCAAAGAUUAUGUAUUUCAAAUUUAUUACAUAUUGUUACAUUCUCUUCAAGGAAUGGUUAAGUUUUGUGGUUAAAAACUUUUUUUCAAUCAUAAGUAAUUUUUUUCCAUGAUAUUGCUAUUGUAAGAGUACAUUUGAAUUAUGAAAAGUUGAAUAAGUUCUCUCUUGCAAGGUUUUCAUCAGUAAUAUUUUUCCACGUAAUUUUAAUUGAGAACUUAUUCUAAAUACUGUAGAGUUAUACUCACAGUUAAAAAAAAACUUGCAACUUCAGGUGCAUCCAACUAUAACAAGCUUUAGAUAGAUUUACCAUAUUCUAUUGCUCAUAAGUAGAUCUUUCACAGUCAAAUAUUUCGCAUUCAACCUCUUAACAGGGAUGAUGACAAAAGAAGAUCACAAAGAUAGUCACGAUCAAUUCAAUUUAUAGCAAGAGUAAUAAAUACAAAUCAGUAACCCAAUCCUUUUUGGAUUCAUAUGAAAUAUAAUCUUUUCUUCAUUGACAAUCCCAAUGUGAUAUCAAUUAUAAUGAAUAUCUUUUUAAUUCAUUAACCAUCCCAAAUUUUAUGCCUUUUAGAUAUAGAUAUAUUAGCUAUUAUGGAGCUUUCAACUAAUUUUGUACUAUCAAAUAUUGAAAUAAUAUUUGUUUGUUUUAGUGCCAAAUAAGAUAAACAUUUUCUAUUUGUAAUGACAGAAUUCAUUACUAUAUUCUCAUAUUCUUCCUCAAAGAAUAUUAACAGAAACAAAAUAUUUGGGCAUACGCCACAUAUGUGGUCAAUAAUCUUUCAUAUCACAUUGAUAACAUAGGUUAUCUUUACCCUGUGAAAAGUCAUCUUGAGAACUCUCAUUGUUAUUUUAUUUAUUACUAUAUUUCUGCUUUUAAUGGACCAUGAUUGUAUCUUUUAUUUUCUUUAUGUUUUCAUUCACUUCGAGGAAUGCAACAAAUUUGGUAGGACAAGCUUCUAAACACCUCCAAUGAUUUUUUAUUUCAUAGUCACCAUCGUAAAACAUGCGUGGAUUUAAAAUUAAAAUCUAUCUAUUCAUGUUGUCAUGAUUAGUCUCCAAUUAUAAUAAACAUGAUAUAAUAAAUAAAUCCUAGUAAAAUAUACCUAAGAUUCUUUAACAUCAUUGUUAUCACCCUGGCUAUUAUCACGAGCACCAUAAUGUGCAGGCCUCAAUUGAAGACUGAAAUAACAGUAGAUCUAGAAGGCAAUUGACAAUAGCUUGAGUAGCAAAUUUGAGUGACUGACUAUUGUAUUAAUUGUUGCUUGAAAGGGCUAAGGCUUGGUGAAGUGGAAAAAAAAAUUGUGACUUAUGGAGAAAAAAAAUUAAAAGAGAAUUGUGUUGAUAACGUGUUAUAAAAUAAAUAGAUAGAGAGUAAAGAACAUAGAAAAUGGAAGAGUAAAAGAGAGAGCGUAUGUUAUUGAUCAAUCAAAAUAUUUACAAAACUUUUUCAAAGUCUCUAUUUAUAGGCAUAUGAAAUAUAAAUGAAGUAGAGAUCUACUUCUAAUGACUAUAAGAAUUUAAAGUAUAUCAAAACUUAUCUUAAUCUUGAUGGACAUCCACUUAAUAAGAUAUUCAUAACACUUCAAUUUUAGUUGUCUAGCUAGGUUGAUAAUGCAACUAAAUAGAAUUAGUCGGUUUGAUUUGCUUGGUAGAGUGAAAAAAAAUUGGGAGGAUGGAAAUUGAAAGGAUAGAAAACUAUAAGGAUGGGAAAUAUAUAUUUUUAUUUUCAUAAGUGUGCUUAGUAGGAGAGAUAGAAAGAUAAAAAGAAAAUUUAGUAGAGUUGAAAAUUGGAAGAAAAGAAUAUAAAACAUUUGAAAAUGUAUAAUUUUGAAUUAACAUAUAUAUCACUCUCAUUUUCUUUUCUCUCAUCAUUCUAAUUUGGAAUGAUUUUGUUUUAUGCAUUAGGAUGGAAAAUUUCCUUCUCUUCCCAAUCAAACACACUCAAAAUUUAUUUUCAUUUUACUCUUUCGCUCUUUCUUCCUAUUCUCCUACUUUUUCACCUGAUCAAACACAUUCUUAAUCUCAUUAUUUUAUGAGGAAUAUCUCAUGUCAAAAUAAAAACCUCCAAGUUAAGUCGUUUAGGCGAGAUUACAUUGAUAAUGAUGAUGUUACUAGACUAGAUUAGAGAAGUCUAACAAAAUUUUUUCAAAUAAAAUUAUUUUUGAUUUUUUAUAAAAAAUUUGAAAAAUCAUAAAAAAUUGUACCAUAAAUAAUUUUUUUUCCAUAUCUUUAAACAACAAAUGCAAGUGAAUACAAUGAAUUGGACACCCCCAAACCGAUUAAACAUUAUCAUACAAUUAUAAAAUUAUAUAUAUGCAUUAGUAGGGGCACAAUCUUGAAAAAAUCAAUUGAAAAAUAAAUUUGAUUAAUUUGUAAUAUAAUUACCAAAAUUUAUUGAGGAGAAGAUUAAGGUAUGAAUAUGAAUUUCGCAGGUGAUGUGGGCGAAAAGAUUACAUAGAGAAUAAGCACAUAGGUAGCUAGCAGUAAUGGCAACUUUUUCUUCUUGUUGUUUAUUUGUGAUGAUUGAUGAAAUAAAUUUGUAGAGCAAGUGGGGUUGAGGUAAUUGAGCGUGGUUGGGAGGGGAAUAAAUACAAUACACGCCAAUGAAAAAAAAUUAAAAGAAAUAAUAAAGACAUUUGAGAAGGAUAGGGAGAGACAGAGGGGUCAUGGUCAAUGUAGGGUGAACUACGGACAUGAGUUAGGACCAGAGACCCCAAGGUGCAAAAGGACCAUUUAUGGUUAAGACUUAAGAGAGAGUGUGCCAAAUUCAUUUUAAAUAUCAAACUUUACGACUAUAUCUCAUCUCUUAAUUUUUUUUCCUUUUUCAAAUAAUAAUGAACUUAUAAAAGUUAGAUUUCAAAUUCAAUGCCCUUGCUUCUUUGGGUUUUGGACACCUUUUUUGCAGAUUCAUUUCAUCAUUUACAUUUUCUCUCUUUGAGCCUUUUUUUGGGCUUUGAAGUCGAUUUUUGCACCAAUUUGUUGGGUCUUAAUACAAUCUCCCUUUUAAGUUCAAAAAACUUUGUUCACGUGGUUGGACAUUCGCGAUUUUCUUUUGCAUAAUCAGCCAAACUCAAUUUUGAGUUGGCGAGGAACCCAAAUUAAAUAGAGCAAAUUAUUCCUCUUUUGAGAAAUUGAUAAGAGUUUCUAAUUUUUUAGCUAAUUAAUAAAUUAUGACAUGUUUUAAAUUUUUUUUUGGAUAAUUGUAAUUUCCUUGUCAAGAAGUAGUUGAAGUGCUACAAUCCAAUGAAGCUUACAAAAUAAACCUAUAAAUGUACACAUACAAUUAUUACUCUACAUUUUAAUCCUUAAUCCCCAACUUGAACAAAGAUGAAUAUACUAGUAUCUAUACAAUUAAUUUACCUCCCCAUCAAUCUAAUCUAUACAAUUUCUUUAAUCUUUCAUUGUUUUCCUUUUUUCUUUAUUUUUUAUCGGCACCUGUUUUGUAACGCCCCAAUUUUCGGGAAUCCUAUGAAUGUUGGCAUAGGUUUAAUUAUGUUAGUGGGCCUCUAGAAAGCCCAAACUUAAGAUAGAACCCGACAAUUUUAGUUAAUUUUUGUUCCAUAAGAAAAAGGGGGUGAAAUUAUGAAAUAGGACCUAUGUGAAAAUGUUUGAAAAUGCUAUAGAUUAAAUUGAAGUGGCCAAAUAAAUAGGAGUGCAAAAUAGGAGGAUUUGCAUGACAAACCUCCCAUUUUACAUGAAGUGGUCAGCCAUCAUGUUGUUGUAGACAAAAUGUACAUUUGAUAUCCAUAAUUUAUGUUACAAAUUGAUACAAAUUGAUAAAAGGUUAGGUAAAUGUUCCAUGAUAAUGGGUUAGGUAAAUGUUUCAUGAUAAGAAUUUCAUGUCUUUUGUAUUAAAGAAUUAAAUGGAUGAAAUAUGAAGUUUUAUUAAAAGAAAAAGGGGUGAAAAGAACAAAGUUUUGUCCAUCUUUGUUCAUAAUAGCUGAAAGUUAGAGAAGAGAAAGGAGAGGAGAAAGCUCUUGAGUAUUCGGUCAUUAGGAGGAGGAAAAUUGAAGGUAAGUUCUUGGUACCUUGCUUCUAUUUUGAGGUUCAUUAGUUCUUCUUGAUUCUACCUUAACUCUUGAAGUAUAUUUUGAUUUUUAGUUGUGUUGUGAGCAUUUGGUCAUGAAUUAAAAUGAAGGAAAUGGUUGUUGUUUCAUGUUCUUUUGAUGAAAAAUGGAAGAUAUGUGAAGUUGAGCCAAACAAAUGAGCAUGCAUGUGCCUUAGAUGCUAAAGGGAAAAAUCGGCUAACAUGUUGUGCUUUAAAAUGAUGAAAUGGAGAUUAUGCUUAAGUAAAAAUCAUAGAUAUGUGAUGAUUGAUUGGUGAUAUACAUGUUUAAAUAACAUGCAUGCAAGAUAGGUGUAUGAAAGAGUGAUUUGGUAAUAAAUCUGCUUGGGACAGCAGCAGUAACGUGACUUUGGAAAAUCACCAUAAAUUGUGGGAGAUGAAUUAGAAGCUGAAUAAAUUAUGUAAUUAAAGCUUAUUGAGUCUAGUUUCUAAUGAAAUAAACAAGAACAUAUUUUGAAUUCUGUACAAUGAGAAAUUUGAUUCGUAAUGAAGAGUGGUCAGAUUAGUCAAACAGUGAAACAUGAGAAACUUUGAGAAAAAUCUGGUAUUGAUUGGCUAAACCAAAAAUUUUGAAAAAUUUAUGGAUAGAAUAUAUAUGAGUCUAUUUUCAGGGAAAAUUAACGGCACUUGAUUUGGAGUUUCGUAGCUCCAGUUAUAAAUGAUUUAGUGACUGUUGCUCAGGAAGACAGCUUGCAGUGAAAUUAUGAUUAUGUGGUAAACAUUGACAAAAAUUUGUUAAUGAGUUGCUUAUUGAUUUCUUAUAAGCUUACUAUGAUCUGUAGGUGUGGUUGGCCGAAUAUUGUAAGGGGUUAAUACGUAGUUUGUAUUUGAAUAGUUAGAUUAACGUGUUAGUAAUCCAAUUGUAGGCGGUUCGUGUGUGGAUCUCGUCAGCAUAUCGUCACAAACAGGUGUGUAACUAACACCCUCUUUCUUAGUCUAGAUCGGCAAAAGUCGAAAAGCCGAAAUGCCGAAAACCGGUAUUUUGUAGAUUUGCGAGUGUGCGAAUGCUCGUGAGGUAAAUCGAUUAAUGUUUUUGGUAAGUUACAAUGUUUGGACUGCAAAGUGCAUAAUUUCUGUGCCCUCGAUAUUUUUGGGCUUAAUGGGCCAAAAUUGGAAUGAUGGGCCAACGGGCCCAAUUCGGUAAGAACCCUCGGUACGUGAUUCUGUAGUACGUGAAAGGUAGGAAUAUGCAUGAAAAACCCUAAAAUAGAUAAAUUACUGAAAUACCUUUAAAAGUGAAAAAUUUACAAUUUUACCCCUAGGAGAUAAAUUACCGAAAUACCCCUAGGGUUAAAUUGACUUAAAUGCAUGUUUGACUGUUGUUAUUUACUGCAUGCCAUGUUGUUAUUAUCUGAUGCAUGGGACUGGGAUAUUGACGGAGGAAGUACUGAAAGUGGCUUGUCCACGUACUGGAGGCUUUGCCUCAAUUUACUGUUAACUGAGCAGCAAUGCUGCAACUGUGGAGUGUUGGGCUGGGUGGGUUGAGCUAUCCCCACAUGGAGUGUAUGGCUGGUACGGGUGGAGUGUAGUGGUUGGUGGGUUGAGUAGUCUCCCCAAAUGGGCUUGCAUAUGUUAUUGAUGUUGCAUGUAUUUUGAAAUAGGCCUAUGGGCCAUACUGUUAUCUGAAUAAGGGGCUAAGGCCCAGUUUAUUGUAAUCUGAAAAGGGCUCUGGCCCAGUACCACUGUUACCUGAAUGGGCUUAGGCCCAAUGGGCUUGAGCUGACUUGGGAUUUGAAUGGGUUUUCCUUACACACUGAGUUUCCCCAAACUCACCCUUUUAUUUUCAUCCAUGCAGGAAAUCCCCAACCAUAGUGGGCUUGGAGCUGUGAGGGAAUUCGGAGUGGCCACCAGUUCUGAAAGUUUGAUUUUCUUCUGGUGAACUGGACAUCCUUUUAUUUACGUUUGAAGUUUUGGGUUUUUAAAUGUAAUAAGGCCGCUUAAUUAUUUUUGAUGGUUUUAAUAUGUAUUACUAAGAUAGGUAUUACUUAUUUUAACUGUUGAAAUUGGAUAGCUUUAGGGCGCGUUUUCAAAAACAACAAUUGAUUUCAAAAUAACACGACAAUAAGCAAAGCUUCCGCAAUGAAAGUAUUUUCCAAAAUUAAUCACUUUUCCUAAAAAUGACUUAAUCAAAUCGGUUUUCUAGAAAUAUCCAUGACGUUAAGGUGUGGCAAUGGCGGUAUGCAUGUCUAGGAUUGGAUCCGAAGGGAGCUUGGUACUUAAGCAGUCCGAUGGACUCACCACCUCUUUUCCGGUUUCCUACCUGGUGCACAGCUUCCAUUCACUUUAAUCCUUAAUGAAUUAAUCUUUUGAACAUCAAGUACGAUUUUCUAGACUUAGAAUGGAAUUUUUUUAACAUUUUUGAUGUGGCAUGCCGGACCCGGCCAUAACUUCUGGGCCGGGUUUGGGGUGCUACAUGUUUGCUUUCAAUUUGCGGUUCCUUUUCUAUUUGAUGGUAGAGGAAGAAAGAAAAAUAUUUGACGUCAGAAAGAAAAGAGAAUUUUCGGGAAAUAGAAAAACUGAUCACGUAUCCCUAAUUUCUCUCCACUAACCCACUACUCAGAAUUUCUGUUUGACCGAGACUCUCUCGGUCAGACAAGCAAAAACAUACUCCCAUGCUCGCGCAGGGAUUCAAACACAAAACCUUCAGCAAUCUGACACUCAAUUUAACCACCAGACCAGCAAGCCUAUUCUAACAUAAGCUUACCAACAAUUAAACUUAAACCCUUUUAGUAAGGUUAAGGCUUUAUUCAAAAAAAAAUACCAAAAUUUUCCAAAUGAAAAACUUGAACUUGGGACCUCUCACACAUGCCAAAAACACUUAACCACUGAAGCAAAUACACAUUUAUGUCAAAAUUUACCAAAAGCCGAAAAAUAAAUGGCACACGAUUUGAGGUUUAGUGAAGGAAACUAAGAUUAUUCAAGAGAAAUUUUUUGAGAAAAUUUUGAAUGAGAAAAAAAAAGGGAUGGUUUUUAAUGCUAAUAAUAAGGGGGUUGUGAAGAAAACCUUAAAUAAAAGGAAAGGGCAAGGAAUCAUGAUUUAGAAUGGCUUAAAUUUAUGCCCAAUAGAAUGUGACCCAAUAAUAAUAGAAGAGGGUUGGGUGUUGUUAGCUAGGCCAAUAUCAUAAGUGUUAGAUCUUUCAUGGGUCCCAAAGGGAGGGAUCAAUCCAAUGAUAUUAGUCAGUUUGUAAAAGUGCAAGUGGAAACAAUCCUUGAUAGCAGAAAUAAUACGGUGGUAAAAUUUCAUGAGAAUGUGAAGUUGUGAGAGGCAGGUGAGGAAUUGAACUUACGAGGUCAGGAUAAUAUAGAUUAAAGUGCUCACAUGGAUGGUUCUUCCUCUUCAAGAACGCUUUGACUUAUCUUCACUAGGUGAUAAAAUAGGUGAAGUCGUAGAAUUAAAAGUGAUGGACUUGAGGGAUUGAGAAUUGUAAAAUAAAAUGGUGGUUGAGGUUAUGGCUAUGGAUCCCUUAGCAGCUAAUGUUUCAAGACAAGCCAUUGGGGAAUUUGAUGAGGGUGGUAGUGAGGAUGAAUCAAAAGAUGUGGAAGACGAUAUGCUUGAAGAUAUUUGAUUUCCCUCCUUAAAGAAUGGGUAUGAUUUUUGUAAUUUUUUUCUCAACUUUUUUGCCUUUUACGAUGAAGGCAAAGUUGUUAAUUUGGAAUUGGCAAGUUGGUGGCCAUCCUAAGUUCCCUAAAAUUAUUAUAGAUUAUGUUAGAGAUUUUUCACCAGGCAUUAUUGGACUUGUGGAGAUGAGACUCAGUGGCCAAGAACCAGAUGGUGUUAUGGUAAAAUUAGGCUUUCCUUUCUCUCGUAGAGUCGAGGCUAGAGGCUUUGUUGUGGGAAUUUGGGUUUUUUGGAGAGACUAAAUCAAUGUGCAAGUGGUUUUUUCUAAUCCACAAUUUGUCCACCUAUUAUACAAGAUGAUAAUUGGAUGGGCAAGUUUUUCAUCACUAGUGUUUAUGCCACUCGAAUAAGAACUAGGUGUAAUUGGUUGCGGGAAGACCUUAACCAUUUGGCGAUGGAUAUGGUGGACUUAUGGAUAACUGUGGGUGAUUUUAAUGCUAUUAUUUUUUUUUAAUUUGAGCAGAGGGGUGGAUCCAUGCAAGGAUAUUUAGGGUGCGAUCGAUUCAAAGAUUUCUUAUUCGAUAAUGGGAUUAAGGAUUUGAGAUAUAGGCUUUGUCAGACCAUUGUUAAUGUAACAACUCGAUUUCUAUUGGUACCAAAAGAUGCGGUUUUGGAACCCCAUUUUUAUAAAUCGAAUUUGUAAAUAUUAAAUAUGAAUUUUAAGUAAAUAAUAUAAAUAUAUGUUGAAUUUUGGUCGAUAAAAAUUUGUCAAUUAAUAGUUAAGUAAGACUUAGGGAGUAAAUUGUAAAAAUUUAAUCGCUAUAGAUUUUUAAUUGACAAGAUUUAGGGAUUCAAAUAGCAAUUAACCAAUGGUCCUAAAAUGGUAAUUAAAACAUUAUUGAGUAAAUACUAGUGGGAGAUGAUGGCCAUCUCCACUAAGUGGAAUUAAAACCAAAUUACACUAAUUGAUUAAGGUUUGUUAAGUAAUUAACCAUUAAUUAUCAUAUAAAUAGGUUGAUAAGUGGAAGGAAAGAUAAAGUUUCAUCUUUUUUUUCCUUCCAUGACCGAUUCUACGUAGGAAAGAAAAGAGAAAAAUCAUCCAAUGGUUUCAAGCAUUCGACCAUACAAAUUAGGUAUGAAAUUUAGUCAUUUCUUGUUACUUUUAUGAAUUUGAGGUCAUGGGAGGUUAAUUUAGCUAGCCCAUGUACCAAUUUGUAAAUUUUUUAAACUUUUUAGAAGUUUUCAUUAUUUAUUUCUUGUAGAGUUAAGCUUGAAAUUGAUAGAUUUUAAGUUUAUAUAGUAAAAAAGACUAGAUUGUAAGGUUAUUCAACUUGUUAGUUAACUUUGUUACAUUAGAGAUCAAAUUGAAUAAAUGUGAAAAUUGUCAUGAAAUUCUAUUAGAAAUAGAAAAUAUAAGGUCCCUAAUGAAAAUAUAUGAAAUUAGAUUUUAAUCCAAAGCUAGGAAUUGAAAAUUAUGACUAUAUCGAGUCCAAAGACUAAAUUGGAUAAGAUAUAAAAUUUUAGGGAUAUUGAAAAAUGAGUUCAUAUAGGUUCAUGCAUAUCAUAACAUUGUAUGAGAAUAUAGUAUAUUAAUUGGUGAUAUUAAAUAAUUGUACAAAUAAUAUUUAGAUCAAAGUGGAGCUAAUAGAGGAAAUCUAAAAUUACAAAUUAGUCCCUAGAAUAUCUACUUUUUUUCACAUUUUGAACAGGUAAGUUCAUAUGAAACUUAUUAUUUCAUUUUGUAUUAUAUGCGUGCUUAUGUUUAAGUUAGUGUAUAAAUGUAUCUAUAUAGUUGAAAUAUUAUGGAAUCUAGCAUACUUGGUUAGUAAAAGUUUGAAUAGAAAUAGUGUAAUAAUUGAUUAUUAUGUAAUAAUACAAGGUACAAAUAUGUAACACCUCAAACCCAACCUAGACGUUAUGAUCGAAUCUUGAAGGUUAAACCAUCUACUCAUUUUAAAAUUCAAGCUUAAUUCAUUUUAACAACGAUACAUGUGUGUUUUCAAAAUCAUUCAUUUACAACCAUUUUACUAAAUUUAAAACCACAUUUAUAGCUUAUUUAUUAUUCAAAAAACUCAUUUUGAUUACUUGGAUUUGUAGUUUAGCGAAAACAAAUUAUUAAAGUUCAAUAACUAGUCCAAAACCAAAAAUAAUGUCCAAAAAGCCCAAGAUUAAUCGUGAAAUCAAAUUAAAUCAUUCAAUUUGAGAAUGACUAAUCUAAGCCCCAAAUGUCACCCGAUCCUAAGUCUAAGGGUUACAUGAAAAGUUUAAUAAAUUGAGUGAGCUAGAAAGCACAGUGUGCGACUUAGCCCACAUACAUGACAGAUAACAAAAUUGAAUCACAAUUUUCAGCAUAACAGAACAUAUAUAGAAGCAUAGCAUGCAAUAUCGAUGCAAAAUCAACAAAUAGAUCAGAUCCUACCCCCAUUCGCUACGCACCAUCUCCAACCCACCCAACACACCAAAUAGGGUAAAUAAUACCCACCCAACCUCACACACCAAAUAGUGAUCAUAUGUCACUAUACAGAAAUAUGCAGUCAUGCUGCCAAAUGUUAUGCAGAAAUUCGACACAAUCAAAUACUACAACUAUAACUGCCAAAUCCAGAUAUUGUGCUUUUACCACCAGAAAUGCAGAUCAUAGUUUGCCAGAAGUUGCAACACCCCUAACUCCUAUCCGUCACCGGAACAAGGUUAUAGAGCAUUACUAGAGUUUUUCAAAUCAAACAAACAUAAAAUUUCAAACUUUUCAACUCAUAUCAAUAAACAUAUUAAACCCAAUUCAAAUUAUACAUAUUGUCCCUUAAACGAGCCCUCGAGGCCCAAAAUACGCAUUAGAAACAAGCCAGGACUAAAUCGGAAACUCAGAGAAUUUUUCAAAAAAUAUUAAAAAUUUUCAACAUUGCAGGGGUCACACGGUUGUGAGGGAGACACACCCGUGUCUUAGGUUGUGUGGACGUUCGAAUUAGGGACACAUGGCUAUGUCCUUGCCGGUGUCCAUGCACGUGUAACUCACUAACUCAAUCACACGGCCAAGCCACAUGCCUAUGUGCUAGGUCGUGUACCCUUCAAAAUAACCUCACACGCCCGUGUGGUAGGCCGUGUACUAGGCUGUGUAACAAUCUGACUUGCAACCCUUCAAAAGCUAUAAGGAACACACGGCCGUGUCGUCUGUGUCUCUGCCCGUGUGGACGAAAAUAGGUCAUUUUUCAAACCUUUUUUCUCACCCAAUUUGUCAUGUACCUACAACCAAAAAUGUACAUAUGCACAAGCCAUAACAAGGCACCAAAAUUAUGCAUAAUCAAGUCAUAUACAUAAGUUAUAAUCACAUACAACCAAUAUGCCCUUAGGCAACUCAAAUGACAACAUUAAAACAUAUAUAAACAUGUACUCUAUUUGGAAAAAUAAUUAACUACUAAGCAUAUUUGCAUCAAUUCAUGCCAUUUAUUUUACUUGCCAAAACUUCUCGAUUGGUACCAAAUAUGCCACUCUAAACUAGCACCAAAUUACCAUAUAAGUCAUACAUACUAAAGUACCAAUUCUCCACAAUUUCAUCAUAUCACAAAACACAUUUAACUAUCAUUUUACCUUUCACUAUUCAAAUACAAAUCAAGCCACAUAGCAACCAUGUCAACGUUACUUAUAUACAUACCAAAAUAUGUCACAACACAAGCCAAAUCAAAUGGCCAUAUUCACAACAAAACAUAUAGGCCAACAUUAGCCAAAAUACCUAUACAUGCCAUUAUAACCAAGAUCAAAACAACCGAAAGUACCAAAAGAGCUGAUGGAUAGUGUGAUAUAACUCCGAAAAGUUUCCAACCCGAACGAGUUUCCAAUUCACUAUAAAACACGGAAAAUAACACAGAGUAAGCAUUUAAGCCUAGUAAGUUCGUAUAUCAUAGAAUAAAACUUACAUUUAGUCAUAUAAUAGGUAAGUAAACAUAGAAUAUCCCAACAUAAUUUGGCCAAAUGCCUAAGCACAUAUACAUCAACCAUGUUAGCCAUGUAAAUACAUAUAUAAACCAAUAAUCAUGGAUGAGCACAAUAAUUGAUUAAGUUUCAUAUACAUGUAUCAUCCAAUUCAAUUAUCGAUAUACCAUGUAACAACAUUUCCAUGUAAUUCAUGUGUGUCCCUGUAAUAGUCUGUAUCAAACUCAUACCAAUUUGUAUCAAAAUAUUGCCCGUUGAACCAUUAGAAUUCCGUUGGAUACCAAGGAUAGCUCACACAUAGUGUGCUAACUCAUAUAACUAUAAUCUGUCAAAUCCUGUACACAUAUGCUCAUACAAGCUGUGAAUCGGUAUGCUCACUCGAGCUAUAUAUCGGUAUGCUCUCAUGAGCUGUAAAUCGAUAUACUCACACGAGCUGUGGGUCAGAACGUACCUACAUGAUGCUGCUCACACGAGCUAUGGAUUAUCUACAACACAUGCAGGAUCUCAGCCAUCGGUAAGACGUUCAAGACCAGUACUCGAAUCAUGUAAGCCCUAAUGACAUGUCAUUUGUAUCCUACGAAUUCUUAAGGUUCAAACGGGGCUCGGUAAUCAUCAUAUGUCAUUGGAUAUGCAACCAUGUAUAAAUGUAGCAAAUUUACAAUUCAUGCAUAUUUCAAAAUAAAACAUAUAAUCACAACUUAAUCACACGAAUUUACGUAGAUACGAAGGCGAUUAAUCCGAGGCUUUCUUUUUGCCCCGAUCUAAAGCCGUACGAGGUCUAUCUUGAUCUAUACUGAUCAAUUUAACUCAAUUCAAUAUAAUUUUCAUUCAAUUUAACCCAAAAUCAUAUUUUGACAAAAUUACUAUUUUACCUCUAUACUUUUAAUUCUUUGCAAUCUAGUCCCUAGCUCAUAAAAAUGGAAAUUCAUGAAAUUCCAUCACAACCCACUAUAGCCGAAUAUUAAGUAGGUCCUUAGCAUGCCCUAUAUUUCAUUAAUUUCUCAAUUUCACCAUGUAUAAUUUUCUAUUUUUCAAUUUAAUCCCUAUUUGGCAAUUUCAUCAAAAAUCUCUUUACAAAAAUUGUUUAUCUAACAACUAUCCAUUUUCUAUCAUCAAACAUCAAAUAUCAUGUAAAUUCAUUAAUAGAAAAACCUAAUAAUUUAACAGUUUCACAAAUUAGUCCCUAGGCUAGCUAGAUUAAGCUACAACGAACCCAAAAACAUAAAAACUCAUUUAAAACGAGACAAAUAUCACUUACAAUGCAAGGAAAAAUAGCCUAGCUAAAACCUUCUCCUUUGUUUAUCUAGGGUGGCGAUUCUUUAGGUUAGAAAAUGAAGAAGAUAGUGUUUUAAUUUCAUGUUUUCUUUUAUUAAAUUAGUUUAAUUUACUUAAUUACAAAGUUAACCUUUUAAAACAUCACAAAUUACACCAAUGCCAAGUCAUGUACAUCCACUAUCACAAUUUAUGGUCUAAUUACAAUUUAAUGACUCCUACUUUAAGGUUCUAUAGCUAUUUAAUACUUUUAGCUACUAGAACUCAACUUUUACGCUUCAUGCAAUUUAGACCUUUUUAUCAAAUUGAGCAUGUAAACAGUAAAAUUUCUUUAAGAAUUUUAUAUAUGGUACUGCUAUCAUGCUAUAGACAAUAAAAUAAUAAAAUAAAUUUGCCAACUUUGAAUUUGUGGUCCUGAAACAUUUGUUCCAAUUUCACUGAAAACGGGUUGUUACAACUCUCCCUCCUAAAGGGAUUUUCGUCCCCGACAAUCUUACCAGAAAAGAGGUUUGGAUAUUUAUUUCUCAUAACUUCCUUGGGUUCCCAAGUGGCUUCUUCUAUUCCGUGUCAUUGCCAGAGAACUUUUACUAAAGCUAUGUUCUUGUUUCUCAAUUCUUUCACGUCUCGUGCCAGAAUUCUGAUUGGUUCCUCACUGUACGACAUAUCUGGUUGAAUCUCAACAUCGGUUGGGGAGAUAACAUGUGAACGGUUAGAUCGGUAUCAUCGUAACAUAGACACGUGAAAGACAUUAUGAAUAUUUUCUAGUUUUGACGGUAAAGCUAAUCAAUACACAAUAGGUUUGAUUCUUUCAGUAAUCUCAUAUGGCUUGAUAAAUCGAGGACUUAACUUUCCUUUGUGACCGAAUCGAAGAACCUUUUUCCAGUGCAAUACUUUCAGAAAUACUCUAUUGCUUGAAAUUCUAUGUCUUUACGUUUAAAAUCCGCAUAUGAUUUCUGACGAUUUGAAGUUGCUUUCAAACUAUCUCGAAUCACUUUUACUUUUUCCUCAGUCUCACGAAUCAAAUCAACCUUGAGUAUUAUGUUCUCACUGAGCUCAGUCUAGUGUAACAGAGUUCAAUAUUUACGACCAUACAAAGCUCCAUAUGGUGUCAUCUUUAUGCUCGACUAAAAACUUUAUUAUACGCGAAUUCAACCAACAGUAAAUAUUUCUCCCAGUGACCAUCAAACUCUAAUACACAGCAACGAAGCAUAUCUUCAAGACUCUAAACUACUUACUCGGGCUGACCAUCGGCCUAAGAAUGAAAUGCAGUACUAAAAUGCAAUCGCGUACCUAAAGCUUUCUAUAACUUUCUCUAGAAUCAUGAUGUAAACCACGAAUCUCUAUGUGAAAUUAUAGAAACUAGUACCCCGUGUAAUCUGACAAUCUCAGAAACAUAUAACUCAGCUAACCUAUUAAGGGAGAAAUCUGUACGUACCAGGAUAAAAUGUAUUGACUUCGUCAAUUAAUCAACAACAACCUAAAUGGCAUCUUUCUUUCUCAGAGAUAAGGGUAAACUCGAUUCAAAAUCCAUAGUAACUCGAUCCUAUUUCCACUCCGGUAUCAUCACUGGUUGCAAUAAUCCAGAAGGUUCCUGAUGUUUAGCUUUAACUUACUGACAUAUUAAACAUCUCUAUACAAAGUCAGAAAUCUUGCGUUUCAUUCCUAGCCACCAGUACAUCUGUUUCAAGUCACCAUACAUCUUAUUACUUCUUGAAUGAAUAGAUAAGCUACCAUUAUGAGCUUCCUGCAAGAUUCUCAGAAUAAGCUCUGGAUUUUUUGAUACACAAAUUCUAUCUCUGAACAAUAAGCAAUCAUCGGGUCCUAUCUGAAAUUCUAAAUCAGAAGCUAAUUCACAUUAUGCCCAUUUAGGUAGCAAUUCAUCAUCACAUUUUUGAGCUUCGCAGUUUUUUGUAAAAACAUCGGUCUAACUUUUAACUCAGCUAAGAUCGAACCAUCAUUAGAUAAUGUCAGUCGCGUAUUCAUAUCAGACAACAUACAUAUCAUUUAUUAAAGCUUAUGAAAUCGUUGACCUUGUAUACACAAUCAAAACAUGACCUUAACUAAACUUAAUCAAAAUGGGCCGACAUGCCCUACUUGGCACAACCAUGUGGCCCACACAACCUGACACACAGCCUAACACACGUCCGUGUGGCUCCCAUGGCCAAACGCACGACCGUAUAGCAUUGAUAGUUUCAAUUUAUGUAUAGUUUUACGGGUUUACGAGUUAGGGUCACACACCUGAUUGAUCUUGGGAUGUUGACACUACAGCAGCUCCAAAAUCUGUAGUCAACAUUCGUAACCUAAUUAAUUAAUACAAAAUAUAAUUGAAACUGAACUAUGUAUUCGACCCCUAAAAAAUUAAGGAAUCCAACCAAAUUCAAUUGAGAAAUUGCCACUUACCCAAAGGAGGGUGGUUCACACACUCUUAAUCUACUGAAGAGUUAUUUUCCACACGCACCUUACCUAAAUAGAAACAUAAGGUGAUCAAACCUCACAAACAUACACUAAUUAGCCAAUGAAAAUUUGGUUAAUAAUUAAAUAAAAUACCAAAUCCAUGUCCAUAUUUGCCUACUAAAAACUCAUUAAACCAUUUAAGUCCCUUUUUCCUUUAUUCAAUAAGCCAUUUAAUCACUCAAAUCAAAUAGUGAUCAAAUUUUACAUCUUUUACGAUUUAGUCCUUUUUAAUUAAUUAACUAUUUAGACAUUAAAAUUUUGUAACGAAACUUUAAUACAACCUUAAUAACAUUUCGUUAUAAAUAUUUACGGCUUGGUUUAUAGAAGCAAGGUCCUGAUACCUCAUUUUCUAAAACCACUUGACUUUAGGGUCUUACCACUUGAACUUAAUAAAUCAUUUACAUAACAUUAAUUACCAUAUCAAAAACCUUUUUAAAAUCAAAUUUAAAUCGUAAAUAUUAAAUAAUAAUAUUUACGAACUUACUCGUUAAAUUUGUGGCCUUGAAACCACUAUUUUCGAUCCACUAAAAAUAGGCUAUUACAUAGGUAGUGUUUGGAAAGUCACCAAGUAAUUGGAUUUGGGUGUAAUUGCUUGUAAUUACACAUGGCUGACAUUUUUGGGCAACCAUUGUAAUCGGUAGGUCUAAAUUAAUUUCAUGUAAUUGGAGCACCCCAAUUACACUUUCUAAUUCUUUGGGGAGGGUGAGAAUUGGAGUAAUUACACAGGUAAUUACAUUCAAAUUCAAUUUUAAAAAUUAUUUUUUAUACAAGUUUAAGUUAUAACUUUUUAUAUUAUAAUCAUGAAUACGUAUGAGUGUUUUAGAUAGUUAUGAAAAAAAAUUUAUUAUAUUAUAAAUCUUAAAAAAUAUAUAUCACAAAAACUUUUGUAUAUUUUGUAAAGUUAUAACAAAAAAUUAUAUUAUUUAAAUCUUAAUUUUUUUAAUUUAUGACAAAAAAGUAUUAUAAAAUAUAAUUUACAUGUUAUAAAACUGUUAUAAUAUAUUUUUUAUAAAAAAAAGUUAUGGACAAAAAUUAUUUAUGUGAUCAUGCUAUAUAUUAUAAAAAAUGUGCUUAUUCAUAAGGUUAUAGUUUUUUUUUAUCCUAAUUGAUUUGUAAAAAAUUAACUUUCUAAAGUAAUAGAAAAAAUAUAUUAUUUAUAAGAAAUGUUAUGAAAGUUAUUACACUUCAUAAUUUUUUUUAUAAAGGUUAUAUACCCUAUUAGGUAUAAUGACUUUUUUGGCCCUCGAACUUUAUAAAAUAUCUGUGUUUUUUGUCAAAUUACCCCAAUAUGGAUGGAAAAGUUAACGUUUGUUAAAUUUGCUGACGUGACAUUCAUGUGGAUUGUCACAAUGACACAUUAGCAUUUAAUUAAUUUUUAAAAUUUUUAAAAUAUUAAAAAUAUAUUUUUGUAGUUUUAAUAAUUUUUAAAUAUUUUUAAUGAUUUUUAAUUUUUUAAAAAAUAAAUUUAUCUUUUUUAUUUUUUUAUUUUAAAAAAAUAAUUAAAUAUUGGCGUGUAAUCCACACCUAUGCAGCGUCAGAAAAGUUUAAAAAAUUCAUUCAUUUUGGGGUGAUUUGACAAAAAAAAACCCUCAAGUUUAAGGACUUAAAAAAAAUGAAGGGCUAAAAUGACUUUUUUUGUAAAGAUGGAGGGCCAAAAAAGUCGUUAUGCCUAUUAUAUAUUUUAUAUUAUUUUUUACAUAUUAUAAAAUAUGUUAUAGCCUAGUAAAAUUCUUUUUUCCAAAUUAAUUUUAUAUAAGUUUUUGUUAUUAAAGCUACAGGCUAUUUGCAUCAUGAAUCCAAAUAUUAUAUAGUAGAUGUUAAUUAUGCAAAUACGAAAUAUUUUCUUACACCAUAUCGUAGGGUAUAAUACCAUUUGAGAGAAUGGAGCUUAGACAUAAGCACUAGAGACGACUCUUGAACUCUUUAAUUUGAGAUAUUUAAGGUUUCAAAAUAUGGUUGAGAGGACAUUUGUUGCUCCAAAAAACUAAUUCUCAUAUUAACAAUAUCACCUUCGUAUAACAUUAAAAUAUUAAGGUUGGAUUGUACUAGUAUGUUGCAUACUUCAUAGCUUCAUUCAUUAGUGGAUUUAGAAUGAUCCAUACUCUGAAUAGCACAUGGAAGAAAGAGGUAAUGAUAAUCUUAAUGAUACAAAUUCAUAUUCAAAUUAUGAUGAACUCGCUCAAGGACCAAAAUUUGUAAUACCAAACAUGAUUUAGGGAAUUAUAAUGUAAUCAUAUUGUGUCAGUGAAACACGUUUAGGGAAUUAUGAUUCUUUGUAAUUACAAGAGAGUGUAAUUACUACCCUAAUAAUUACACUUUCAUUUAAAUACUCUAUAUCGUCCAAAUAGACCCUAAGAGUAAAAUUUCAUAUGCUAUAAAUUAUAAUUUUUAAUUUAUUACAUAUAGAUUUUGACCCUAAAUAAACUAUAAAAAUAGUCAUCCAAUUAUGCAAUUGGUUUUAUUUUGGUCACCCACCUAUUUUUUUUCCAAUUUAGUUACUUAACUUUGUGAAAUUAAAUAUUUUAGUCACUCUUUGAUUAGUUGCGUUAGCUUAGUGACAAAAGUCUAACAUGUGCUUUUUUAUUAACCUAAUAACAAAUUUAGCUCUAAAAUAUUUUCACAUUCUAUCAACUUGAUUUUAAAUUAAAAAAUUCAACAAAUUCCAUAUAAAAAAACAUAUCCUCUUUUACCAUCAACAAUACACACCACUAGCCCUAUCAUAAACCACCAUAUACAACACAUCAUCAUCCUUAACUCAUUCUGGCAAUUCUAUAUAUAUGGCCAUUUCAUCUUUUUUAGACUUCCUUUUUUUUCUUUUCUCUUUCCUUUUUAUUGUCUUAAUUAGCAUGGCCAUUUUCCUUGCAUAUCUUAUCUUUGUCUCCACUUUCACCCUUCAUUUCCUGAUGCACUUUGGUUUUAUACUCAUUGUUUGGUGUUGAGUGUUUUAGAGUGUGUGUCCUUCAAAAUGGUUAUAUUUUCUAUUUAUAUGAUACGGUUACUAUUUACGGAUGGCACAUCAUAGGUAGGUCCCCAUGCAUGCCAACACAUACCCUAUUCUAGGGUUAACAUGUGUUUUCUAAAUGAGGGUUUGCCUUCGUGGUGGUGUGAACCAACAUUGUGCAGUCUCAUAGAAGGAUGCAAACACCUCACGUGCGAACCUUAUAGACUCAGGGUCAGAACCCAAUCGGGUAUCUGGGUACUGGGUUAGUAAUGGAUAUUACCAUAACAAUUUGUCUCCCACCUAGUUUAAAGAAGAGUCACAAAGUGACUCUUCUAAGAACUUGACUUCGCGAGGUGAGAGAUUCUUGAGAGAGAAGCUUAUCGUGUACGCUUUUUACUUUAGAUUGUCACGUAUGCUUAACUUAUUGUGCCUUCAUCUCGGAUACAUGAAUCGUUAAAGUGUAAAACUCUUUUAAAAUAUGGUUACCCUAACCCUAAGAAUCAAACCAUUUGCAUUUGAACUUUUUGAGAAGGAGCUUCUUUUAGGGAGAAUAAUUAUUUUUCAGAGGUAAUUCUUUUAAAAUUUUCCAAUUAUUUUUUUGGUUUUUUUUGGGUUUAUUCGAGCACAAUGGUUAGGGCGAAAGGAAGUAACUGUGUCAUUCAGGGCAUCCAUCAAUGCCGUGAACUAAAUGCUCUAAUUUUUACACUCAUUAGCCUGUUAGGAAGAAAUGGCGUAUACUAACCCGCCAACAGUUCACCCAAUGAAUUGGGGCAUUACUGACAGAUUCAAAACCAUAGAAUUGUUUAAAGUUUGAGAAAAAAAGUUAUAAGGAUUCUUUUUUCGUUAAAAUCAUUAAUCUUUUAUCUAUUAUUAGAACAUCUUUAAGGAGAGAAUAAAGACUACUAAACUAUUCAUUGAUUAGGAUCUGCCAUCAAAGGUGAAUACGCUUAAGGAAAGAUAAUUUUGAAACUACAAAUCUAGGAAUUUGGCAAUGACAAAUAUGUAUAUAUAUAAACAAGGUCGAUUACUCUUUAAGACAAAACAAUACAUUUAUAGAGUUAAAACGAAAAUUAAACACAAAACAACUGGGUGUGCCCUUCACUAAUAGCCAUGUAUGAUACAAAACAAUUAAGUGGCUCACUUAUAGAUGCAACUUUGGCGUAAUUGCCACUCAACGAAUCUUUUCUACUAAAAUGCUUGAGAAAGAAAGGUAACGAAGUAAGUUUAGUGAUUUCCUUAAUAACACAACAUGAUAUCAGGUUACCCCUGAUCAAAUCAAAGAUUAAGACACUUUUGAAACUCCACCCUACAGUGGUUUUACACCAAUCCGCCAGUCUACUGGUGCACACAAAAAAACUAUAUCGCAAAAUCCUUAAUGGAAACGUGCCAGUAAAUCAUGCGUAUUUCUCUCAAUCAUAUAUGUUUACCUGUGACCCAACCUUGUGCCAACCUCAGACCCUUGGAUCAUAAAUCAGAAUCGCAUAUCUUUAUUUAUAUUCCUUUUCAUAUUGAACACAUAUUCUUCCACAAGGUCAGGCUGUGAUUUGUCAGUCUAGUUUGCAAUAAAGUUACCCUACCGAAAGCAUCACAAAUAAGGUUUCUUUCCAUAUUUUUACAUAUAGUAGAUAGUUUAGUAUUCAACUAGCACACAAGGUGGACAUUAACUGUGACCAUGGCCAUGUACAAACAAUCCUGACUCGUUAACACACAACACAGUGACGUAUAUUCAACAGAGACAACUUACCUUACACGAUUCCAUCUCAUAGAGUUUUUAAAACCUAGAAGAAGCAAAAAAAAAAACUCAACAGAACUUGCAAGAUAGAAUCUACUUUAUUUAUCUAUUACCUCAAUCGUUGGGACAUUCUCUAGUUUCUUGGGCUAAAUAAAAAAUAAUCAUAAUUACCAGACCCUUUGUCUACUAUAAAUUGAUCAUGCAUAUACUAGAGCAAAGAUGUAAAUCUUCUCAACAACUUCCUAAGGGUUUCCCAUAAACUAUCAGUCUGUUGGUACUUAUCAAUGGCAUUUGACAAGUUUUUGGAUAUUUUCCUUGUCUCCUCUAGGGAAGAUGACUUAAAAGAAAUUUCUUAAAGACGUAGGAGAGGACACAUAGAAAAAAGAAAAAGGCAAAACAUGCUGGUUAUAGACACCAUUUUAUAGCACACACAAUGGAAAUAAGCUUCGAUGAGAGGUUUGAGACCCCACUACCAACCUUGAAUUUAGAAACUAAGCUUACUUAAUAAGAUUUGAAAUCUAACCUCUUUUCAAAUGUAACUACUACCACUAAUCAGAGUGGUAAAACAUAGCUUAAAAACUUAGGCGACCAACUAAAUCGAUCAUUCGGUUACCUAAACAUAUCAAGUUGUCAUCUACAAUACUCUAGUUCAAUUCUAACUAGAUCUAAACUAAACUCUAACUAUGUCUAACGGCUAUCGCUCUGCAAACUAACUAGAUCUUAUCGCUUUGCGAACAAACUAAUUCACCCAGAACAUCUAGGGCUAGUGGAUCGUCUUAUAAAAGAGCCCGUCAAACCUUAGAGUUUGACAGCCUUAGAGUUUUCCAAAUGGUGAAUUCCACCGAGGCGGGCCCCAUAAAAGUAUACCGAAAAACACGUCAACCCAACACUUAAGUUAAUAAUUCACCUUAAUACUACUUUGGCUUACUCAAUUAUACACCAAAAGAAUAUUGGUAUGAUCUACGCUGAGCGGGCUGUUACACCAGUGGAGCUGAAAGUUUUUGUUUGUACCACCAAUAAGGAAAGAAACAAGUCGUCAUUUUGCUGCUCAGGGAAUUCAAAUACCGAACUUUGCCUAUGAAUUCUCAAUCGUUGAAAGGUCAAACCAACUAAGGGCUAGUUUAGCUAUAAUUUUGAAAAGUGCUUUUGAAAAAUGUUGUGGAAAAAUGCUUUUAAGAAGUGCUUUUGAAAAGUUUGGUUUAAAAUUUGAGUGUUUAGCAUUGCUGUCAAAAAGUGCUUUUGGGAAAUAAAAUGUCCAUUUUAAACAUGUUAUUGUCAAGUAACAAAUAUGCAUUUAAAUAAUAUUUAAAUUAGUUAAUAUUAUUAUAUUUUAGUAAGAAUAUAAAAAUUAUUAUAACUUGUUGUUAAUAUUUUAAUAUAUGAAAUAUAAAUUUUAAAUAUUUUUAAGCAAUAAAUAUUAAUUAUUUAUAAAAUUUAAUUAGAAUAUGUAAAAUAUAUUUUAAAUAUUUAAAUAUAACCACUAAAUAUUCGUCAUUAGUAUUUUAAAAAAAAUAUUUUUUAUUUUUAAUUAAUGAUUUUAACACAUUUGUAAUUAAGCACCAAGAAAAGAAAAAGGGAAAGUACUAUGUUAUUGGAGGGGUGAAAAAGUAAUUAAACAUAAAAGUGCUUUUGGGAUAGGAAAAGCUAAAAAAUUUAGCUUUUCCUUUUCAGAAGUGCUUUUGAAAUGUCAAAAAUUUCAGCCAAAAGCAGUUUGUUUAGCAGAGCUUUUCUUCCAAAAGUGCUUUUGGAGCCAGAAGUGCUUUUUUUUUUAAAAGAACUAGUAAAUAGGCCCUAAGUGGUGAAAGUUUUCUACUUCCUUUGCAUGUGCUAGAAAUGGUCUUUCAUCUACCACUCCAUCCAUUUUUCUGUCAUUUUCUCUAUGAGUACAUGAUAGCUUUCGGGUAGCUAUAUGGUUUUUCGUGAUGGGUUAUAGUGGCCUAUUUCCUCGAAUGUGGUCAGUGAGAGAUGUCAUUGAUCGUUGUUUUUCAAAAUCUGUAUUAACUCAAAGUGUGCAAUCGAGGAGGUUAAGUUGCCUUGUUUUACUUUUUUCUUUGCGAAGGAGUGGAAUCAAUUAUCUCCAAUUGGUCUUUGAAUCUUCGCCUAAAUCAUUGUGAAUGUAUAUGAGUCAAGUACAAGUUUGGAACUAUUUUUGGUUUUCCAACCGAAUGGUCCGUACCUAGUAAGAGCAUGUGCUGGCGAAAAUGAGAUAUUAUAUUUGAAGUGGGAUAGGCUCAAUAUUAUAGGCUUCGUUGUGGUUGCGUAAUAGAUUUGAAGGAAGCGUUAAUAGUUAGAAAAGUGUUUCAAUACUGUCUCAUAAAUCUGAACCCUAAUGGAUGGUGACCAAUUUAUGAUAACAAUAGUGUGGACACCGUGACUAUUUUACCUGUGCAGUUCAUAUGGCCACAUAGAACCAGUGAUGAUUUAGGGCUUAUUCUCUUAGGAAAAAAGGAAGAGCCUAAAUAUUAUUUUUAUACCUUUUGUAAAUUCAAGCCUCAUCCAUAGUCCUUUAAACUUGCAAGGGAUAAAAAAAGUGAUGCGAACCCCCUGAUGAUAAUUGUUGGUGUUGAAAAUAGACUUGUUGGUGAUACAGGCACAGUUCACGUUGUUGAAAAAAAUUUAGAAGAAUCCACAAGUUUAUCUAGAGAGAUCGAUAAAUACAUGAACGUGCGGUCCUUUAUGUAAAAUGUGUGAGGUGGUCCCUCUAGUACUUCUACUAGGGAGGAGAGUGCAAGUAGUAGAAAGAAACAAAAGACUACUGUUGGAGCUACUAACAUUAUAUUAAGUAGUGAAGAUGAGGGUAGUCCAGCAAGAGAAAUUCAUCGAAAGAAAAGGAAAGAUCAUGUUGUAACAUUAAGUGAUGUGGCAACCACUACUAUAGUUCCUUUUGUGGUUCCUUCUUACUCCACCUUGGGUAAUACCAUCAACUAGUGGCAUAUUUGGGAUGAUUGUUAAUCAUACCCCUCCUUGAGGUUCCAUGAAGUUUUUGUCUUCGGGUGGUGAGACACAAACGUUUUUUUAGUUGCGCGAACACUUGAGCAUGUAGAAGUUUCCUUAUUGUUCCGUUGAACUGAGCUAAUAGUAGAAAUAUUCAAUGUCUGAAGAAGCAAAAGAGCAUGCUUUUCCAUCUAUAUCAUCUAACUGUGUGAGGAAAAAUUAUUUGAAGGAGUUUAUACUAUCUUUUUAAGUAGCCUUGGUGAAAUUGGUAUGGUCAGUGUGGAGCUCGCUGAGGGCAUUGGUGAACAGAAAGUAAAUAUGAUAGAUAUUGAAAAUGCAUAUCAGUUUACCAUGGACACGUUAGAAAGGGCUCGCAAAGUACAUAAGAAUUUGAAUGAGGAAAAUAGAAAAUUAGUGGAGCAGAAUAGGAUGUUACAGGAGCAUUUCACUCUCAUUGAAAAAGAUAUUGAAAAACUGUUUGGAGAUAUCGUAGGUGAGCGAGCUGAUAAGGAUGUUUUGGAAGCGACCAUGAAAAGCAUGGAUAAAAGACAUAAACUUGUCAUAGCUAAUCUGGUGAAGAGUAAUGAAGAGGCUUUGAAAAAGUAAAAAGCUAAUACCAUGCAAAGCUUUCAGGAUUAUUUUCCAAUUUUAAAAUCUAAUUUCUUGUUACAUGCUCAAGUGGUUGGCGAUCCCUUUGAUGGUCGCUGGGUAAACUUCGAUGCUCUCAGCCAUCUCAUGGGUGCUCAACUGGACUUCGAUGUUCACUUUCCCUCUAGAGCUACUUAGGAGGAAUUUGUGGAAGAGUGAAAGAUUUCCACCAGGCUUUACUUUGUUGAUACUCUUGUUAAGAACAAUAUAGCUCCUACUGUUAGGCAUAAUGGAAAUGCUAACAAAAAAGUGGAGGGAAAAGAUGAAGAGCUCACCAAUCCCUAAGAUACCAGUGCUAACUCAUGAAUUCCUUGUUUUGAUUGUAUUUAGUAUUUGUAUUUUGAAAUGGAAAGUAGUAUCUUUACCUUUUGUUGAAACCUUGUCAUGUUUGAUUGUGAUUUUGUUUGAGCAAAUUGCAUAAUUAAGUGUCCAUCACAAAUGACUUAAUGAAUAUAAUUUAAAUGGUGGUCUGGAAAUCAACUAACUCAAAUAGGAUUGUUGAUGAUGAUAAACCAAAUGAAUUUAGGCUAUGAUCUUAGAUCAACAAGCAAAUUAGAGCAACGAUAUUAAAUCAGCUAACUCAGAUAAGAUUGUUCAUGAUAGUAAAUCAAAUGAACUUAAGUUGUGAACUUAAAUCAACGAGCCAUUUGAAGCAGCGAUAUUAAAUUAGCUAACUCAGAGAGGAUUGUUCAUGAUAUUAAACCAAAUGAACUUAGGCUGCAAUCUUAGAUUAGUGAGGAUAUUAGAGCAAUGAUAUUAAAUCAGCUAACUCAGAUAGGAUUGUUCAUGAUAGUAGAUCAAAUGAACUUAGAUUGCGAUCUUAAAUCAGUGACCCAUUUGGAGUAGGGAUAUUAAACCAGCUAACUCAGAGAAGAUUUUUCAUGAUAAUAAAUCAAAUCAACUUAGCUUGCAAUCCUAAAUUCGUGAGUCAUUUGGAGCAGCGAUAUUAAAUCAGCUAACUCAGAGAAAAUCAUUCAUGAUAGUAAAUCGAAUGAACUUAGGUUGUGAUAUUAAAUCAGGGAGUCAUUUGGAGUAGCGGUAUUAAAUCAGCUACCUUAGAGAAUAUUGUUCAUGACAAAUAAACUAAAUAACAUUUGCAAAGAGUGUAUCUUUAUUGAAAAAGAGAGUAGACCAUUCAUACAUCAUAUUUUUUUUAGAUGGUGCACAUUCCAUGUCCAAGGUUGAACAAAGUCAUCCAUUUUUACUAUCCUAUAAGCUCCAGAGCCUAUUUUUUCAACAACUUUGUAGGUUCUAUUCCAAUUAGGGGUCAUUUUUCCUUGCUACGAUGCUCACAAACUAGCUUUAGUAUUUCUUAAAACUAGAUCGCACACUCGUAAUUAUUUUUUCUUCACCCUAGAAUUAUAGUAUUGAGUGACCUCUUGAACUAGUGCAACAUUUCUAAUUUCUACUGUCUCCCUAAAUUUUUUUAUAAGAUCUAAGUUGGGUCUAGUGUCCUCUUGGUUGGCAUUUUCAUUGAAAUUAGUUGUCCUAUAUGAUCGCAGGUUUAUCUCAAUAAGGAUUACCGCCUUUGCUAUAUACCAAUGAGAAUGUUAUCUCUCCAUUUACUAUGUGAUGUGAAAUUCGUAGGGCCCAUCCUAGUAGCUCUUCUAACCAAGAACAUUUGGCCUUAUCAACUUUUUUCUUUAAAUCCAUUAAAAUUUCUUGUUCACUGCCUCUACUUGACCAUUUGUUUAGGGAGUUUUUAUAAAGCUUUAACUGAAAACAAUUUGCAGGUCCUUAUAGAAGUUUUUCAAUUUUCCCUGAAUUUGGGUUCUAGUGUCUAUUAUGAUAAGAUGUGGAAUGCCAAACCUGUAAACAAUAUAUUUCCAGAGAAAAAACUUCAUUUGUCUCUCUGUGAUUGUAGCUAGAGCUUCAGCUUCUAUCCACUUAGUAAAAUAGUCCACAACUACAAUUAUGAAUUUCUUUUGAGCUGUUGCUAUUGGAAACAGACCUAAAAUAUCUAUCUCCAAGUUUCAAAUGACCAAAGACUAAACAUUACUUGUAGAGGCUCACUUGUUGACUCGUUGCACUUAAGCAUGUUUUUGGCAGGAAUCAUAAGUGCAAACCAUAUGGUAUGCAUAUUUAUACAUAGUUAGCCAAUAAUAACCUUGCCUGAAAACCUUCUUUUCUUACAAUCUUCCACCCAGAUGAUUGUUGCAUAUUCCCUCAUACAUCUCUCAUAACAAAUACAGCUUCAGUGGGAGCGAGACAUCUCAAAAGUGGUUGGGAGUAACCUGUUUUAUAAAGCACACUCUUUAACAGAAUAUAUCUAAAGGUGAUAGAUAAAAUGAUUUUAAUUGAAUGAGGACUGAGUAACUUGCAGAUACAAGGAUACAUGAAAUGUAAAUAAUAACAUCAUACCUUGCAACCAUAUUUUGUAUUUUGGCAAGCUUUUGUUUGUUGAGGUGGUGAGUUUCCCCUUGUAGGGUUUUUACUAUAGGGGUCAUCCACAUUUCUUCUUGACUCAGAUUGAACACUUGAUGGGUUUCAUAGCUUGGGGUGACUCUAUGCUUUAACAGAAAUUUUCCAUUUUGCUCAAUUGUAAUAGAAGACGCUAACUUAGACAAACUGUCAGCUUUGGUGUUCUUCGUCCUGGAUAAUUGUCUAACUUGUGCCUUGUUAAACUGAGCGGGUAACUGGGCAACUAUGGCAUGGUAUUUCUUUAGGCUUGGCUUUUACUUCAUACUCUUCAUUCAUUUGCUUCGUUACCAACUGAGAAUCAAUGCGUAUUACCAAUUCCCUUACCCUCAACUGUAAAGCUAGUUGUAGUCUUGAAAUUAAUGCCUCAUACUCCGUAGCGUUGUUAGAUACUUGGAAGCUGAAGGAUAAUCCAUACUAUUACUCAUUCUCAUCAGGGUCUAUAAGGAGAACGCAUACCCCUGAUCAUUUCUUUGUUGUUAAGCCAUCUACAUAAAUAGCCCAACACUUUGGCUUCAUAGCUGAGCUAGUUUAUCUUUAUGAUGGGCUAACCACUACAUCUUGUAUAAUCAACAUGUUAUAGACAUAGAACUCAACAAUGCAACCAAUCUACUCUAUGAAAAUCUUAUUAACCGACCUUUGAUAGGUUGCAUUUGCGUUCUUCAACCUCAAAGCUAUAACUCGAUAGCAGAACAAGCCCUCCUCCAUAACAAAGGUCAUUUUAUCCUGAUCUUCUAGAGCCAUGAAAAUUUGGUUAUAACCUGAGAAUGCAUCCAUAAAACUCAUAAACUUAUGGCCUAAUGACGCAUCUACCAAUCUGUCGAUCGAGGGCAAAGAAGACAUAUCUUUUAAUCAAGUCAUGUUAAGACUAGUAAAAUCAAUGCACAUUCUCUAUUUUCCAUUAGCAUUCUUUGCCAUCACAAUAUUUCACACCCAGUUUGGGUAUGCCACCUCCUAGAUAAAUCCCACCAAAAGGAGCUUUCCUACUUCUUUUCUUAUGGUCUCCACAACUUGUGGAGCAAAUCUUCUUCUUUUCUGCUUAACUUGUUUGACCUCGGGCAACACAUUUAACAUAUGGAUAAUCACUUGAGGAUCAACCCCAGGGAUGUCUGUGGCUGACCAUGCAAAAACAUUUGAAUUCUCCCUUAAGCACCGUACUAAGUCUACAUUUUCCUCUUCUGCUAAUACGAAUAAGAUCUUUACCAACUUGCCCGUGUUAUCAUAAAAUAAUUACAAAGUUUCUAUGACUAUUGUUGCUUCUGGCAUGCAAAUUCUCUCCUCACUUCUAGCAUCCAAACUAUCCAAAUCUAAAACCUGGCUAACCAUCUUUACCUAGUGCAAACCCUAACCCUGUGGUUUCUGCUCAUGCAUUUGCUUAACUAACAACAUGUAACAUUGCCUUGUUGUUCGCUGGUCAGAUUUAAUAAAACCUAUCUCUAUCCUAAUAGGGAGUUUAAUCUUUAUACAAAAAGUAGCAAUCAUCAUUUUAGCCAUUCUCAAAAUAGGAUGCCUAAAGAUGGCAUAGUAAGUCAUUGGAUGUUCUACCACAAAGAACUAAACAUAUUCUGUGGUGGUAUGCUAGUCAUCCCCUAAGGUAAAAGGUAGAGUAAUACAUCAUUUUACCUCGACUAGAUGAUUCGAAAAACCAUACAAAGGGCUUACUUUCUUCAAAGCUUACUCCUUCAACCCCAUAUUUUGAUAUGCGUCUCAAGUCAACACCUCCACGACACUUCUGCUAUCAACCAAAAUUCUUUUAACCUAAAAUCUUGCUAUAGUUUUUUAUACUUCCAUAAAGUUAUUUCCUUCCUCAUCACAAACCAAAUCCUCAUCCUUUUCAUUAAAUUUCACUUUCUAGUUUUCUUGCUAAUGCAACCUCUUCAGUGAACUGACUAACAUCACACUUCUAAUAUGAGUCUUUCUCUUCGUGUUAGAGGUCGCAAAGUCCUCAUUUGUACCAAUUAUCGUGUAAUUCUCAAUCUUGUGACCCUUUUCAUUGUGAAAUUACAUCUGCCUCAAGAGUUGGUCCUAGACUAAUUGUGUCACAUAGGUGGAGGGCUUGGCAAAAUGCCCAAACUUUUGACCGGACUAAGAAUGUAGGUACGUGUAGCAUUUAAGGGGGUAUAAGUUUCAAAUUUUCCAUGAGGAACAUACCUUCUAGUAUGUUUGCACUGAGGCUUCUAGAAUGUCCUUAACGAUUUAUUCUGUGAAUAGUUCCUCAGUUGUCCGGCAUCUUGAACACGUAGACUCUGAGAAAGAUGAUCUUGUAGACCACAAGUAUUCUGGCAAUCUUUAAACUAUCUAUCAUCCUUCUGAAAAGUGUUGCGAGCUACCCUUUUAAUUUCCUCCGCCUUAACAAACUUAUGCACUCUCUCAUACAAGUCUGUCAAACUCUAUGGUUUGACUCAGUAAAUAGAUAUUUUACGUGUUCAUUUUGGACUCCCAUGAUGAAGGUAUCAAUGGCCCACUAGUCUUGCAGGUUCUUUGUGUUUAACGUUGCUACAUAGAACCAUUUAACAUAAUCUUACAAAGAUUCUCCAUCCUUCUGCUUCACUAAUAUCAAACUCAUAGGGGUGCUCAUUAUUGUCCUAUGGGCUCGAAACCUCCCCAAAAACGUCUAACUUAACUGCGAGAAGUUUUUAAUGGAGCCCUAUGGCAAAGACAGAUACCAAUCUUUCACAUUCUCCCUAAGAUGUGCCUAACUUAGCUGUAUCAGAAGCUCCUACACAUUCAUAUAAUUAUUAUACUACAUGAGAUGUGCCUGAGGAUCCCUUCUGCCUUUGAACAUCUUUUUUGGGACUUUAAACUCAGUUGGUAGGCACACAGUUACUACCUCUGAAGACAAGGGGUUGUUAGAACAAAACAACUAGUCCAUGUCUUGCACAUUAAGGUAUAAUACUUGCACAUCCCUAUGCAAAGCAUCCAUCUCAUUUUGUCAUGGCUUUGCUUAUGCUCCCACAUCCUCCUCCUAGAAAGGUGUGACAUGGUCUUGAAGAUCAGAGUGGUCGAACUGUACGUUUCCUUUCUAGUCCUCAUUUUGCCUUAAUAAUUCUUACUGAAACAAUUACUGUUGUUCAAACCUGGUACUUUGUUGAGUCAUUUGUUCUUUUAUCAACCUUAGUUGCUCUUACAAACCAAAUAGUUAUUGUGGCGAUGCUUCUUGAUCAAAGGGAAAUGGCAGCCACUAACUAGAGGUAGAAUUGAGAUUAAAAGAAUUGGAAACACCUAAUUGGCCUGAGUUGCCCAGAUUUUCUGGUCGGUCAGUAAACCAACCAAAAAAAAAGGCUCAUCUCACUAUGUUGAUUGUCGAUGCCAGAACCUCUUGCCUGGCCUAAUAGGAAAUUGUUAGGAAAGUUCUCGUUGUGGUGAGUCAUCUUAGUUUUCUGAUUUUCUGAUGGUCGAAAAUCUGUCUACGCUUACCACACCAAAUUGUUGAAUGUUUUAAAGUGUGUGUGCUUCAAAAGAGUUAGAUUCUUUAUUUAUAUGAUACGGUUUUGUUUAUGGGUGAGACGUCAUAGGUAGGUUCCCAUGCAUGCCAACACGUACUCUAUUCUAGGGUUAACACGUGUUUUCUAAAUGAGGAUUCGCCUUCGUGGUGGUGAGAACCUACAUCGUGCGGUCUCAUAGAAGGAUGCAAACACCUCACAUGCGAACCUUGAAGACUACGAGUUAGAACCAAUCGAAUAUCCAGAUAACAAGAUGAUAAUAGCGAGUAACUUAGAAACUUAUUAAUAGAGAUCAAUAUACAAAACACAUGCAGGUCAGCUUGAAAAUUAUUUAGUUAUUCUCACGUAGCCUUCUUUUUUUAUUCAUGAGAAUUGAUUUGAAAAAUCCUCCCAGUCACUACUAUUGAAAAUUAAAGAAAGAAAAAGAAAAUGUUAGCUUAAAGUUACAAUAAUCGAUUUAAGUUGACUCUUAGUUCUUCUUUCCAGUAGUAGAUGGAAAGUCCUGAGGGGUUUAACUUCAAACUAUGGUCUACAUCAUAUUUUAAUAUCAAUUGCAAUUAAUGAUGUGAAAGUUCAUUCAAUUUUCUUCCUUUUGUUUCUUAUUAAACUUCAUUGCUUGUGUUGUGCAGGAAAAAAAAGUAUAUACAUAAUAUAUAUCUACAUAUAUGUGAAGAUAAGGGAGCAAGUUAUAUAAAGAUGAGAACAUGGAUUUGAAUAUGCAAGGGUCCCAAGUCCAAUACACAAGGGUGAAGCCAGAACAAUUUUUUACGGGGGGUCGGAUGAAAUUUUAAUUUUUUAUACCCUAUAUAUUUAUAAUUUUUAAAAGAUUAAAUUGAAUUUUUAUAAUUUUAGGGGGGGCAAAGUACAAUUUUACCUUUACCAAUUUAAAAUAUUUUAAAAAUCUCAAGGGCCUAAAUAGUAAAUUUACAUUUUAGGGGAGCCGAGACCCUUGCUAGCCCCCUUAGAUUCGCCACUGCCAAUACGCAUAAGGUAUAGACGACGAAGGGGAAAUGAGGAGAGGGUCGAGGGUGUGUAUUACUUGUAACAGCCAAAUUUUUCAGUGGUGUCAGAAACAGUGAUUCGAGAUCACUAAAUCUGACGAGUAUGUUUAGAAAUUUUAACAAAUAAUAAUUAUAAGCCAAGUGCGAACUUAAAAGAAUUGUUUUUAAUUAGUGAAUUUUGCAAUUUUAAAAGAAUUAAUCAGGUAAAUUUGGUUGAAAACGAGGUAUCGAGACCUCGGAUUUAUAAACAGAGCCAUAAAUAUUUUUAUAAAUAUUUAUGGAGUGUUAUUAAGUUAGUAUUAAAGUUUCGUUAGAAAAUUUUAACGUUUGGUUAGUCAAUUAAUUAAAAAGGACUAAAUUGAAAAUAGUGUGAAAUUUAUUAAAUUGUGAUUAAAUAGUUUAAGUGAUUAAAAAGGAGGGAUUUAAAAGGCAAUUGGACCCAAAUUGUAUGGGCUGGACGGUUGGGCAAGAAAAUCAGCAAAAAAGACAAGGAGAAACAAGGGCAAAAUGGGAAAUUUUGCAAAUUAAACAUAUAAAACAAGACAAAUUUGAAAAAUCUAGAGAUAUCAUCAUUUUUCUUCAGCAAAAACGCCAUGGGAGGUCUGAAAGCUGCUGGUUUUUCAUACUUUGACAUAUGUGAGUUCAAUUCUUACCCUUUUCUUUGAGAUUUUUAUGUUUUUGUGACUUUUACAAUUAGGUCCAAGUGUUUAAUUCAUUAGUUUUUUUAUUUUAUGAACAAAAUUAAAAGCUAUCAUUGAUAAGUGUUAGCUUUUUAUGAUGAAAUAAAAUGAAUUUGAAGCUUUGAUUUUGUUGUUUGAUGAUUUUAUCAAGUAAUUUCAAUAGAAAUUGAUUUUAGGACCUAAUUGUGAAAAAGUUGUGAAUUAAGGUUUAGUGUUAAAAUUCUAAUUUUUAAAGAUUGUGUAAUAGUUUAGAAUGAUGGAAUAAAAUGUUAAUUGAGAAAAAUUAGCUUAAUAGAUGGGCUAAUUGAGCAAGGACUGAAUUGUAUGACCUUUGAAAUUUAGAGGAAAAAUGGUAAUAAACAUCUUGAACUAAAACAAUAUUGGACAGCAGAAGUAGACUAACUUUGAAAAAUCACCAUAAAUUGUAGAAAUCGAAUUAUAAGAUGAAUAAAAUAUGAAAUUAAAGCUUAUUGAGUCUAGUUUUUCAUAGAAGAAACGGUGUAAGCAAUAGAUUUGUAAAUUAUGAGAUAUAAUGAAUUUUGUGAGACAAUAUUAGAAUGAAUUCGGGUUCCCCUGUUUUGACUUUGGAAAAUCACCAAAAAUUGGAGAAAAUUAAUUAGAGUCUCAAAUUUAUAUGCUUAGAAUCCUUAAUGAGUCUAUUUUCAAUAGAAAUCAAUGGGAACAUUAUCCGAGUUUUGUAAUGUGAUAUAAUUAAUUUUUAGUGAAGAGGGGUCAGAACUGUUGGAUAGUGAAACAGGGGAAACUUAAAUGAAUAAACUGUACUAAUUGGCUAAACCAAAAAUUCUUAAAAUUUUAUGGUGGAAUGAUAUGUGAGUCUAGUUUUAGGGAAAAUUUAUGAAUCUUAAUUUUGAGCUCUGUAGCUCGAAUUAUAAAUAAUUGAGUGACUAUGACUCGUGUGAACAGAUUGAUGUGAGCAUUAAUAAGUAAAUUGUGAAAUCGUACUUACAAGAAUGUUAUAUACAUUAAGGAUGUGGAAUGGAGAGGAGGAGGAGGAAAAAUAUAUAUGAAUAUUCAGUUAGCAUGGCUAAUUUGCAUGUUUUAAGCUCAUGGACUAAAUUGAAUAAAAGUAAAACUUUAGAGGGUAAUUUUGUAAAAAUGUCAAAAAUGACUAAAUUGAAGGGAAUAAAUUGUUUUAUUAUCUAAAUUAAUAAAUUAAAUGAAAUUAUCAAUUUAAGAUUGGGUGAAAUUUGAGAAAAUGGUAAAUUACCAAUAUGCCCCUAAAUCUUGGUAUUUCUGCAAUUUAGUCAGGUAGGUUCGGAUACCCUGAAUGAGCAAGUAAAUAUGACAAUUUAAGUAUUGUAUCGUAUUUUAUAUGAUAUUUUGAAUUGAAUAUAUGAAAAGGAUGUUACAUGAAACAUGAAAAUGAAUACUAAAUAAUAUAAAUUAAUUGAAAUUAUUCUGAAAAUUUCGGUAAUGCCUCGUAUCCUAUCUCGGUUUCAGGUACGGGUAUGGGGUAUUACAUUACCAAUAGUGAGAAAGGAUACAAUUUUUUUUAUAUAGAAUUUGUUAAAAUUUUUAAUUUAAGAUUAAAUUGAUAGACUUUGAAAAUAUAUUAGGGCUAAAUUUACAAUUAGAUCAUUAAAAAAGAACAAGUUAGACUUCUAUUACUGAGUUAAUGACAACUAACGAUAUGGUAGAGUGACUAAAAUAUUUAAAUUCGAAAAAUUGAAUGAAUAAAUUAAAAAAAUAAUAAUUAAAUAAUCAAAAUAAAAGUAAAUGCAUAAUUAGAUGAAUAUUCUUAUAAUAUAAGUGAAUAUUGGGAAUAAUGAUAAAAUUCAUCUUCAAAUCAUAAACUAAAUUUAACAUCAAUAUAACUCAAAAGCUAAAAAAGUGUGAGAUUUUUUUGUCUAAAUGCGGAAAAUUAGAGCGUUGUCAAACAAUUGAUAUAUAUGUUUUGUUUUUGAUAAAAAAAAAUAGAAAUUACAGCUUAAAACUAGCAGAAACGAGUAGUUGAGAUUAGAAAUUCAAAUAUAUAUAGAGAGAGAAAAUAUAGGGAAAGUUGUGAUAGUGAGUGAUUUGAGAUUUAUUAGUGCAUAAAUUGUCAAAACAACUGUUAUUUCCACUAACCACUCCUUAAAACAGCUUAACUACCAAUGACCACUAUAUUUAAAGCCAUAUAUAUACUUGUUUGUUCACUUAGCAGCUUAAGAAAAAAAAAAUCAAAUAAUUUUUGCAAUAAAAAAAGAAAUUAUAUAACAAAAGAAAAAAAAACAAAGUCAAAGAAGGCUUCCCCAUUUUUUGAAAAAAGUAAUAAAAAAAUUACAAGUCCUGAUAUUCUAGAUUACUGAUUAAGUGAAAAAAUUAAUUAAACAAUGAGUAGUAAAGAAAUGUCGGCUAUGGAAGAAGGGAUGUUUUUAACCGUGAAGCAAAUUUGCUAUUCAUCUGACGCAGUUAAACUAAUGCAAAAGGUAAUACAAUUUCUCUCUAUUUUCCUUGUUUUUUGUUUUCAGAGAACGAAGUUGGAGAUUACUUAAGAUUUAGGGUACGUAGGUAAUUGCAGAGGUCGUGGGAACAUAUUUCGUGAUAUUUGCAGGAUGUGGUUCAGUGGUGGUGAAUAAGUUAUACGACGGCAUUGUUACAUUUCCUGGGAUUUCUGUAGUUUGGGGUCUCAUUUGUAUGGUCAUGAUUUACUCUGUUGGUCAUAUUUCGGGUGCCCAUUUUAAUCCUGCGGUUACCAUUACUUUCUGCAUUUUCCGUCGUUUUCCUAUGAAACAAGUAAGCUCAUUAAUUUUACUACUUGUUUCACCUGUAUCUGUAUAUAUACAAUUUAUUAUAAUUAUACCAUCUUAAUGAAUGUGGUUGCAUGCGUAGGUGCCUGUUUAUGUAGUGGCACAGCUCCUUGGAUCAAUCCUAGCAAGCGAAACUUUAACUUUGGUUUGGGAUAUACCUCGAGAUGCCUUUUUUGGAACAGUACCAGUUGGACCUGCUUCUCGAUCUCUAGUUCUUGAGAUUAUCAUUUCCUUUCUAUUGAUGUUUGUUGUAUCGGGGGUGGCUACAGAUAGUCGUGCUGUUAGUAAUAUUAUUCGCUACACUAGUCAUAUAAUUUUAUACAUACAUGGACAGGCAGUGUAAGUAUAUGUUUGUGUGUGUGUUUUGUGAAAACAGAUUGGAGAAUUGGCUGGAAUUGCAGUUGGGAUGACAAUAACGUUAAACGUGUUCGUAGUUGGGUAAAUAAUUUUGAUCCCAAAGAGUGAGAUAAUAUGUGAUUGGUUAAUUAUAAGUGGUGUAAAUAAAUUAUGGUUUUUUGUAUGGAUAGACCGGUAUCAGGGGCAUCAAUGAACCCAGCAAGGACACUUGGACCGGCUAUAGUAAUGCGUGUAUACGAUGGAAUCUGGGUUUAUAUGGUUGGACCAAUGCUGGGCACUAUAUUGGGAGGAUUUGUUUAUAAUUUGAUUAGGUUCACUGAUAAACCUCUAAGUGAACUAACCAGAUCAUCUUCUUUCGUGAAGAGCAUGUCCAAAAGCACUGCCACCGCUACUCUUUAGGGUUUUUCUUCAUAGAUAUUUUUUCCAUCACCCAUCUAAUCAGCUGCUAGCAGAGGGGCUAUUUUUUUUUUUUGUAGUUUAAAAAUAAUGUUAUUUUGAGUUUUGAAUUUAAUGUUCUUGUUUCUUUUAAUUAAUAAGUUUGAAUUGAAUGCGUAGCCGACCCUGUACGAGGCAUUGCAAAGACAUGACGGCCCAUGCACGUGAUAAAAUUAGAUAGAUAGAUGCAUUCCUCCCCACAUCCCUAAUCUACCGCUUCCAGUCAUGUGCAUCAAUAUCUAAAACCUUUUACCACCUAUCAUUUCAUCAAAAAGGUUUUUUUUUAUCUGUCGUACACAAUAUUUAAAAUUAUUUUUACUCCCUUCUCAAUUUAUAAAUAUAAAGAUAAUGAGGUUCAACGCACUCAAAUUCGCAUCCUCCUGUAUUGACAACAAUAUUUAUGCUAAUUAAACUAAGACUCAAUUAACGUGAUUUAUUAUUUUUCUAAUUAUAAUAAUUAAUAUAAAUGUAACUGGAAAGUUACAAUUCAACUACUUUCUUACUUACCAAAGUUUAAAUAUAAUCUAUUAUUACAAGCAUUAAAUAAUUAAUUCAACAAUUAAUCAGAAUAAGUAUGAAAAAGAACUUACAUGUAUACAAAACUUAAACUUGAAAUGUCAAAAUUUUCAAAUUUCAACUUUACUAUUAAGCCAAAAUUGAAUUGACGAACUAUUUUUAUUGUUAAGCAUGUAUAUAACGUCAUGGCUUGCAGUUUUUUAAUACACAAGAAGAGGUCUAAAACCUCACAUCAAAAGUCCUAAGGAUUCUACCUUAGAUAAUGAAAUCAAAUCCUCAUUAAAAAAACUUUGUACCAACAAAGGAGGAUAUGUGAACAUCCUCAAACCAACAACCUAAUGCAUCAAAUUUGCAAUACAGCGUAUCGAUUGGUUAGCUCACCUACCAAUAUGCUGAAACUUCACCAACAAAUCUUUCUUGCACAGAUAAAUAAUUUUUUAAUAAUACUAGGAAUUGACUCAUGAAGAUCUCCCUUUUGAAUCAUUUCAACAAGAUCCACACAAUCAUUAUCAACUUGUAGCAUCCUAAAGCCUUUAUCCCAAGUUGCCUUUAAACAAUCAAGGAUGCUCCACAUCUCAACAACAAGGAAAGAAAAAUAACCAAUAUUAUGACCAUAAUCAAUCAGCCAUUGUCCUUUGUGAUCUCACAACAGACCCUCCCCCUCCAAUGAUGCAUUCCCUAAGCCUUCUUUCACUGAGCCAAUCGUAUUGAGUUUAUUUCAUCCUAUACUAGGCGGCUUCCUAAUAUUUACCUUUCUUAUAUGUUUGAACUAUUAAUUCCCAUCUCAAGAGCCUUAGAUAAAAAGAAGCUCUAAGUAAUUAAUUUGUGCUACAACUAUCAUUUAUGCCAGACCCUACUAUAUCUUUUAUGCUACAACUAUCGUUUUGGGAAAUUAAUUUGUUACUUCUCUUUCAAAUUCACCAACAAAUUAUCCCAAACAAGGAGCUCUAAGAAAUGCCUUAAAAAGAAUGAUUAUUGAUGAUGUCGUUAAGAGCACCAAAAAUAUCCUAUUCCCUGUAAAAUAAUGAAAAAGAACAGUAAAGGGGAAGUAGGAUCGAAUCCUCAGGGAUCGGAUUAUACGAAUGCUUGUUUCUCGAAAUCCUGGACAGAAUCGUGCCCAAGAAAACCUGCGUGACAGAAAAAAAAUAAAAAUAUAACAGAAUUAAAGAUUUGAUUUGGAAAAAAUAAAAACAGAAUCUAAACUGAAAUUGUGAUUACGAAAAUAAUAAAAAUAAUAAAGAGAGUUGAAGGAAAAGAAAUUCUUAUUGGUAGAUUCCAGCCUCCAGUUGUCUCAUUCUGCCUUGGGUUCAAUCAUCGGCUUUUAAAUGACCCUUCUCAACUCAAGUAAGCCAGUUAUAGUAGAAGAGAAUGCCUACGACCACCAGCUCCAAAGAUUAGACUUACGAUUUUUAAGGAACCUGACUCUAGCCAGUAAUCUAUGCUAGAUCAAUGCUUCUCAAUGGCGAAUCCUACGCCAUUUCGUCUCUUUGGCUUGCCAACCUCUGACACAGUAAGUUAACGAACCGACUAUGCAAUCCUUCCAAAACAUACAAAGCAGCCGCCUUUGCAUAUGCUGAAAAGCUUACUUCUUAAGGGCCAUGGACGGAAGCGUCAGCCCGUAGUGCGGAGAAACGAUGAAUACUUGGCGAGAAGGCUAAGUACAGAUUCUAGGCCUCAAGAACCCUUUUAGGGGAAUAUUGAUAACUUUCGGCUAGAUAGGUUUUAGUGGCUCAUAAUAAUGGUGGAAAAAGAAAUAAAUAUAAAAAUGGAAAAGUGAAUUUUAUUGAAAGAAAAUAUGAAGAAACAAAAGCCUAGACUUUCAGGGGGAGAGUGUUUACAGAAAAAGAUGAACACCAAAUAGAGUCACUUCACCCCCUAUUUAUAGUGCUAGGGAGAUAGUCUAAUUUAACUUAAAUUCUAAAAAAAUAAAUACAUUUAAUUAAAGAUAAUUAAAGAUAAUUAAAAUAAAAUCCUAAAAUUAAAUAAUCCUAAUAAUUAUCUUAAUAUUAAUUAUCCUAAUAUAAAUAAAAAGGAGUCUUAUAAAAUAAAAUCUCUUCUUUUUGCAUUUUUAGUCCUUGUGUCUUCCAUGCUCGCACUUUUGGCACAAUCUUUUUCCUGUGUCGCAUAUCAGCCCAUUAUGUCUCCAAAUUUGCACUUUUGUCCCUUAAUUUUGCUUUUUCCUCUAAAUGAGUCCCUAAUCGAUAAAAAGACAUAAAUAGCUCAAAUUAGUAGGAUCAAGCUCAGAAUAAACACAUGAUUAAUACAUAAAAAUACGUUAUUCUAGAGCAUUAUCAAUUAUCAACAUUCGAAAUAUUAAAGAUAAGCGACAUACGAGCAUCUUGACUAUAAAAAUCCUCUCUGCCUUAAGCUAAUAUCAGACUAUCCCAAACUCUUCUAACAAAGAAGUAAUUUCGUAGAGCAUGAACCACACUCUUUACCAUCAUCCUACAUAAAGAGCAAACUAGAUCAUCAGGCAUACUCCGUCUACAUCAUAGUUUGUUGGUCAAAAUAUGACCAUUGAGCACAAACCAGAAGAAGUUUCUCACUCUCCAUGAAGCUAUAAACUUUCAAACCAUGGACCAGAUUAUAUCAUUGGAGUUCUAGUUUUCACUUGCUAGAGUUUUAUAAGCAUUCGUAACCAAAAAGGAUCCAUUCGAUGACCAUUGCUAGUCACAUCUAUCAUUGAUAGCAAAGUCUCUAGGAGGGAAUAUAUGUACCACAUGAGGCAAAAUAGAUUGUGAUAAGAACGAGGCAACAUUAGCUUAACUCCAAUUAUCUUGCUCGUCAACCAUUUCUCUAACUUUAUAAUAUGGAAAAGACACUACAACUUGAUUUGUACGGUUAAUUAAAUAACCUAUUUUCGAGAUCUAUACAUAUGCUAAGAUAUUAAUAUUACUCUAAACUGAAGAAGGGUGAAAUUUCAAGCUAGUUCAAAGGAAUAGUGAUUUUUUUCUACUAGCAUAUUUUUUUUUUGUUUACUAAUGCAGUACAAAUAUAUGAAUGUGUUAAUUUAGAAUCAAUCAAAACAUGUACAAUAACAUCAAAAAGGGAAAAUGUACUAUCUAUGACGUAAGGAGUUGUAGCAUCCUCUUUGGCUCAUAUGGCAUAAGCUAUAGCAGGUGCACGAGCUUCAAAUCUCACGAUUGUAUCUCUAGUUCCACCUUGACUAGCUCCAAUAUUACUACCAGAUCCUAAUAUUUCCGUCAAUAUACACUUGUAAUUUUUCGAACUAAUUGGUUAAUAAAAACAAAUUUAUUGAUUACGAUUAAUAUACUUUUUACUAUUGUCCUCAAAUGAUUUUUUUCACGCAAAACAAAAUGGAAGCAAAUGUUUCUCAUUGGUUGUCUAAUGUUUAACUAAUACUAAGUGGUAUUACGUGGUCGGAUCGUAAUACAAAAAGACAAAUUGUAUUAGUAGACAAACCUAAAUAUAUCUUUAGUCUAAUUCGAAAUGAGCAAAUCGAUGUCUUGUCUUGGGCAUUGGAGCGGAUGACUCCCAAAAGAUAGAGAAAUAGAUGUGACUAAUUGGACUGACAGUAAAUUGGACAGGACCCAAGCAGAAUAGAUCUUGAAUCCGUUUAUAGAUUUAUUCACUUGUGACAUUCAUAGUAUGGCAUACCUAAAUCUUGAGUGGAUGGCGGGCUAUAUAUCGUGACUCCUAUACUUUGAUUCAAAAGUUUGAGUUCAAAUAGAUAAGGAAUCGAAAGUUGGCGCGUUAGGUGUAUGAUUUCUGUAGUAUGUACCGUCAUACACAAAAGUGGAAUUCAUAACCCAAAACAUGGGUAAAUGAUAUUCUUUCAUUAGCAUUACAUGGUUGAUGAAAAGUAAGCGUGAUCACAGGUCAUCCGUUUUUGUGAUGAAUAACUUGAUCACUAAUUGAUAAUGAUUCACUUUUCAUGAAGGAAGAUGAAAUGGUUACCAUAAGAUAAAAUAGAAUCAUAUUAUCCAAAAUAGAUCAAUGAUAUUUAUUAGGGUAACACACUAAUGACAAGGUCAUUGACGAGCACUAAAUAGUUACUUUCGUAAUGUUAUGUCGUUAGGAAGAGCUCAAUCAUGAUACUAUAGUGGAAUGAUUUCGUGACUAAAUGAGUUUAUAAUUAAUAUGCGAAAAGUCAAACUUAAUUAUAAAUCAUUUGGGCCUCAACUACAUAUGCCCAAGCGGUUCCUUCACUAGCUCGUUGAAACUAGAAAUGAAUUGUGUGUUUGACUAAAAAUGAAUGAAAUGAAUAGAAAAAGAGAAAUGGGAAACAUUCAAGAAUAAUUAUGGUUUUCUCUAAAAUGGAGAAAUAGAAUCAUUUGGAAAUGAAUGUAAGUUUCAAAAAAUGGAAAUGGAAAUUUGCAAUCCUAUAUAGGAUUACUUAAAAAAUGAUAGAAGAAUGAGUUUGUGUUUUUGGACUGUUUUCAAACCUGAAAAUGAAAGUAAACCAUUCAGUCAUAGUGAACAUGUUGAUUUGUGACAUUGAAUGAAUUUUCUCGAAAUUUUAUCAGGGGUAAAAUCAUCAAAAUUUUACCAAAGACAAAAUCGUUAAAAUUUUACUCGAGUAAAAUUAGGAUGAGAAAAUUAUUUAAUAUGUAAAUAUUAAAUUUAAUUUUAGGAAAUAGAAAACUAAAUCGGGUUGGAUCACAUUAUAGAGCAUUGGGUUAAAAAGGCUCAGGAAGUACUUCUAAUUGGACCCGAUGUGAGAGAGACCCAAACCGCUCAUAUAACAUGAAAGGGGCAACAACCCUAGUAGAAAUACAAGAGUGAAUCGUUCACCCCUCCCCUACUCUAAGUAGGAUGUUGUUUUUCUAUUUAAAUUAAACAUCUAAAACUCUACAAAAGGUUCUACCUUCUCUUUUUAUAAAUAGAUGGCAUUGGUAGAGCUGUUAACAAAUUUUUGAGAUAUUGUUAUUCUGCCAAAAAAAUAGAGAAAUUUUAUUCUCAACUUAUAAACAUAUUUUUCAAAAUAACAAUUUUACCGGUUCCUAUUAAAGAAGAGAUAAUUUUCAUUUUCAACCCAAAAGGAAAACUUUUUCUAAUUCUGUGUUUUGAUUCAAUUGGUUUGAGUUCACACUCGAAGCAGUUCGUGGUAUGAGAAUAAUGGAGAAAAUCGUUUUGUUGAAAGCUCUAAAACAUCAAGAAUCCGUUUAUCCAAAAACACAAAGUACGAAUUCGGUUAAGGUUUAUUGCUAUAAAUAUCACAAAUAGGGUCGGUUUUAAAAUUUUUAAUUUUCUACUAUGCAAGAAAACAGUUUUCAAAUCGGGUUCUUUUCUAACAAUCCUAAUCUUCUACCCCUUUGUGGAGUUGUCAUCAGUUUAACACUCUUUUUUUGCUUUGUUCUGGCCUAUUCGGGCAAUCGCAUCUCAAAUGUUCUUUGGAGCCGCACAGGUGUCUCGAAAUUAUUCUAUUGAUGUGAAAGUAUACACAAUCAUUGACAAGUAGUAAAGUAGUAAUUAAGAGUUAUCGUUUCCAUAGAAAUUGUUUAUGCAAAUCAAGUAUUGCAAAAUUAAUAUUUAGAAAAUUGCUCAGUGAUGAAAAUAAAUUAAAUUUUGAUAGAAUUCUAAUUUAUACUAAAACUAUCCUAAGUAUAUUUAUAAUUAAAAUAAACAAUGAGAGAAAUACAUAUGCAAGUUUUAAAAGCAAUCACAAUAACAUGCAUGUGUUGGAAUAAUUUUCCUUCCUAACUUAGAAUUAUUUAAAUAAUGUUAAGAGAUGUUACAUAGAUUUUGUGGCAUAUUGAUAAUUUACUAACCCUAAUUUUACGAGUGCUUGGCUUGUCUCAAAGACCUAAGCUUAACCUUUUAGUUUGCAUAUUUCUAUGUCUAUUCUGACUUCAAGAUUACCUUUCCAAGUAUCGCCUAAAGAAUCACACUUAUUAAAAUAUUAAGUUUUUCUAGCAUAUGUCUAUGUCAAUUAACUUAGUGUUUUAAUUCUAUACUAAAAAUAGUUUAAUCACAUAAAUAAUAGGGUUAUGCAAGGUAAUAAAGUUUUUUUGAUAUUAUUACUAAUUUGACCUAAUUUCAUCAUAAAAAGAUCAAACGUGCACAAUCCAAAUAUUGUGUCAAUUAAUUACAAUCUGGUUCUAAUUUAAUAAUUCAUUCAAUUGCAUCCUUACAUUUAUAAUGAACGAAUAACAUGUUCAUGGUUGUGUCUAAAUGAAUAAAUAGAUCAAAUGCACAGUACACCUCUUAACAAAAUUAAAUAAUCUAAUAUAUGAUAUUUAAAUAAUUCUAACACCAACAAAAUUAAGCAACCAUGAUUAUAUUAAAACCAGAAAACUUAAUUACAAUCAUGUUUCUUGAAUUGAACAAAAAUAAAAGAUUGAUUGGAUAAGAAAUGCUAAGUCAUUUCCGGUGGUUCUCUAAGGCACAACUUACUUUUCUCCUCCUUUGUUUUUCGCUUCUUACCAUGACAACCAAGCUCAAAACUCCUAAUCUGGUCGAAUGGGGCUGCUCUCAAAGUCUUACAAACUCUCUCACAGAAAAUGGAAAACGAAAAGUUAAAAGAGAGAAGAGAUGGUGAGUGCGAGAUGAACGAAAUAGGUGAAUGGUUAGAGGUAUUUAUACUUGUGAGGAGCCCCUUAAGUUUACUAAAACCAGCAUGUUAAUCCCCCUUUUUUCUCUCAUGCAUAGUCAACCCUUUGAGUUGAACAGUCAUAUAGGGAAGUUGUUGUGGCUGAUUUGUGAUUUUUUACAAGUCUUAGGUGCCUAAUUUAAUUAUUUUAUGGGCGGUUGGGCUUCCAUAGCCAAAUUGGGCUCUUUUCUCCCUAUAUAGAUGGUUUGGGCUUCAAAUUCAACAGCAGGCUUGUCUACUUUAGUGAUCCAAUUACGAGUUGGGUUAAAUUGAAUUUUGAAGUCCAAUAAAUAAUUUUAAGACGUCCCAUGCUAAUCAGCCAUCAACCCAUGUCUACAUGGCCUUUGUUGCAGGAAAUGUUAUAGCAUCGAACAUCGAACAAGUGAGCUUCAAGACUAAACUUUUUCCUAUUGCACCAAACGACGUCAAACUAGAAAAAAAUAUGUCAAAUUAGCAUGUAAAUAAGUAAGAUUACAAAUUUAUCUUUAAACUUGUCCAACUUUACAAAUUUGUAAUAAAACUACAAGUUUUUUUUUUGGUUAAAAUACUCAAUAUUUGCAUGAUUUAUUAGUCAGAAGGUGUUAUAAUGCUUAUAUAAUUUUGAGUUAUCAACAGGAAACAAGCUCCAUUCUUCAGUCUACACUCACCACUGUGGUUUCAUCCACAGUGUCCACAAAUUGGUCUAUCUAUAUUAUGAACACUACCAACAUUUGCCAUUGAGGUAGUCUAAACUGUCAAAUUACUCGGCCUUGGUUCGUUUCUCCCAAAAAUCCCUAACGGGAUAGAGAAUCGACUAUGAACAUCCCUUGACCUUUUUGGUGGAGGAUUCGGGAAAGAUUUAAAUGUGCCCUGUUUAUCAGAAUCCCAAAGCUUAGAUUUAGCUUGCUUUUUUUUCAUUGCGCAUGUCUUCCAUCUUCUAAUCCCGCUUUGAUAGAACAAUAAAUUCUUUCAAUUCUAAGGCUCCCACCAAAAUACGUAUGUCUUCAUUCAAUCCCCAUUCAAAACGAGUACACAUUUUGGCUUUAGUAGGCACAAUAUUUUUAGCAUACUUACUGAUACGGAUGAAUUCACGUUCAUACUCAACCACAAACAUGUCUUCAUGUUUCAGUUCUAUAAAUUCUAUCUUUUUCUCCUUGAAAUGCAAUCGGAUAACAUAUUUCUUUUUGAACUUGGUAUGAAAGAAAUAUUAAGUUAUUUUAUCUUUAGGAACAACAUAUAUUACCAUCGUCCAACACUAGUAUACUUCUUCUUUCAGUAAUGAUACAAUGAAUUUCAAACCGUCUUCUAGAGUACACAUCAUUUCAACCAAAAUCUUCAAAGUAAUUUCCAACUAAUAUUCAACUUUCGUUAGAUCGCCAUCCUUUUGCCUCUAAACUCUUCUACCCCACAUUUUUUAAUUUUAUCACUCAUGGAUCGGUUAACAUCUAUUGUAUUAAGGUUUUGAGGAUGAUGGGGUGCCACAAGAAGCACGAUCGGGGGAGGAGGAUGCAUUUAGGGUUGCGAAGUUAAAGGAGUAGCUUUCGCAAACUAGAAUGCAUUUGACAUUACAAAAAACACACUGAAAUUUAACAUGGCAUCCUUGGGCAUCCUUGUAAUUUCAUAUGCAAUUCAACAAUACAACAAAUAAGUUAACUCUCUUGCAUAUCAAGAACUUAUAAUACCAAUCACAUAUACAUGUACAACAAUCCAAUAUAGCAUCAUAUAUCAUCUAAUUCAUAUUCAAUUUGAAAACAUAUAUAAUUCGAUCCAUAUUCAAAUCAAUUCAAUAAUUUCAUCUCCAUUAGGUUAUCGUUUUCUCGCCUUAGUGGACCUUAAUAAAUCAAAGUUAGAUAUUGAUGAUCGUUUUAUGAUUCACUAAACUAGACUACGAUCACUACUAAGGCAAGCGCACCUACCGAAUGGUAGUAUAGUUACGGUGAGUCGGGAAUAUCGUAUCCACGAGGACUAAAAGUACUAGUAAUAAUUAUUUUUCUAUUAUUUAGCCUAUAAUUAAAAGGAUUUGUUUUUAAUUUAAAUUUAACUAAAAUAAUUAACUAAUGAACGCGACAGAGAGUGAAGAAAAUAAUCGAAUAAACCAAUAGAAAAGACAAUACCCAGGAAAGAAUCUACCUAAACUUCACUUAUUAUUCUGACUCUGAAUCAAACGAUUUAUUCACUUGUCUUGAUCCGUAGAAAUCCCUAAAUUAUGUUAAUAUCUAUUUUGAGACUAAGAACAACUGACUCUAGGUUGAUUAAUUGAAAUCUCUUUCUAAUUAAAACCCCUAUCGUCGCAUUAACUCGAUCUAUGGAUUCCCCUAUUAGAUUUGACUCUAAUCCGGCAGAUUUAUGUCGUCCUAUCUCUAGGAUUGCAUGCAACUCCACUUAAUUAUGCUAGAUCUACUCUUAAACAGGGAAUUUUGCUCCACUGAAUAAGCACAUCAAACUUGGAUUAAUAUCCUGAAAAUAUUAAGGAAAGAAUUAAGAACAAGAACAAGUAUUUAUCGUGUAAUUCAAAUAAUUAAAUAAUAAGAUUCAUCAUAGGUUUCAUCCUCCCUAGGUAUUUAGGGAGUUUAGUUCAUAAUGUAAUAGGAAAACAUCUCAAAAUUAGGAAAAUAACAAAACAUAAAGAAACCCAAAAAAUUUGAGAGAAAUUGGAGGGAGAUAUUCAGUCUUGAAAGAGGUCCUACUUCCGAGCUGAAUCCGUUAGCAUUCUUCGAGUAAUUCCUGUGUUCCACUUUGCGUGUCCCCUUUAGGUCUACUUCUAGUGUGUUUAUAUAGAUUUUAGAAUGCCCAGAAACCCUAAAAAUUAGCUUUUUUCACGUGUUUGGGAAAUCGGGAGCGAAAUCGACACGGGCUAGCACAUGGGCGUGUGGCUAGCCCGUGUGGUAAUGGUCUUGGCCGUGUGAAUCUUUAAAUCAGCACAUUUUGUCAGUUUUUGGCUCAUUUUCUGCUCCUUUUGUUUCCCUAUGCUCUCCUAAGUAUAAAGCAUGAAAUUAAAGGAUUAAGAGCAUCUAAUUCACUAAAUUAUAUAAUAAAUCAACCAAAAAUAUGCUAAGUAUGGGAUUAAAAUGUGUUAUUUUUAUGGUUUAUCAACUAUAGUGCUCACACAAUCUGAUUGUGAUUAGGAGUUCUUACACAAGUUGACAUUUAAAGAUUUUCCCACACAAGGUUACAUUUAUAAAUUGAGAAUCCAAAAACAAAUGUUGGAUCUCGUAUAACCAUGAAAAUCCAUGAUUGAUUUCAUAUUAGACCCUAAUGGUAUGCCAUACAUAUCAUAAUCAUUACUAAGCUCAAAAGGGCUUUGUUACUGUAAUCAUAUCAUUCCGAUCCCUUUAUCAGCAUAUAUAUAUCAUUUCAAUCAUAUAAACUUUCCAUAUUCAUUUCGGCGCCUCCAUAUUUUGCAAUUUAGUCCAUUUGAUGCCAAAAUCAUUACCAUCACAUUCAUACAAACUAAUAAGAAAAAAAAAUACAAUUCAAUCAUAACAUGAAUAAAAAAAUAAGUAUCAUAUGAACUUACUUGGCAAAAUAGCAAUGAAAAAUUCUUUAAGGACUAAUCAGUAAUUUUGCCUUUUUCCCGAUUAUCCUUGGUUUAGUUCAAUUCCUGAUCUAUACAAUAAUUUAGUUUAUCUAUCAAUACAAAACAUUUUAUAAUAUCCUAUUAUAUGCAUGAAUCAAUUCAAUUUUAAUUUUUGAAUGCCUCUAAAAUUUUACAUUUUAUUCAAUUUAGUCCCUAAAACCAAAAUUGCAAUAUCUUUUAAAUUUGAGCUUCGAUUUCAAAACCAAUCUCAAUUACAUCCUUUUAGAACCCUCUACUAUCAAUAAUUAUGAAAUUUCACAUCAAAUUCAAACUUUAUACACUUUAGUCCCUAUGUUAAAAAACUAUCAAUUAAACUUUACAACCUAAUCCUUUUUCACUUCCAAGCUUAAAAUCUAAUAAUUUAACAAUAAAUUAUUCAAGAAAAAUCAGUGUAAACUUUUGAAAAAUUUAACAAAUUUACAAAUUGGUACAUAUGCUUGCUAAAUUAAAUUAUCAUGACCUAAAAACAUAAAAAUUACAAGAAAAUGACUAAAUUGAACUAACCAAUUAAUAAUUAAAACUUUGAAGCUUUGAAACCCUAUAUUUCUCUUCUUAUUUUGGUGGAGAAGAACAAAGAAGAUGAUCAUUUUUUUUUAGUUUUUACACUUUGUUUUAAACAUAAUUAAUUAGGAUUAAUUUAAUUAAACAUUGAUUAAUAAAACCUUAAGCUUAGUUAACUCAAGUGAGUGAAUUCCAACCUCAUCCACCAUCGUUUGGCCAGUUAGGAAUGGCCCAAUUUCUCAUUUGGUCCUUAGGUUAAUUAAAAAUCUAUAGUAAUAAACUUUUACAAUUUAGUCAUUAUAACUUAAUUAACUAUCAUUUUGAAAAAAUUAAUGGACCAAAAUUUAAUAAAAUUUAAUAAUAAAUUCAUAAAUAUUAAUAAUUAAUAUUUAUGGACUCGAACAUCAGAAAUAGGAAACCAUUGUUUCUGACACCAUUGAAAAACGAGUUGUUACAAAUGUACACCACAAUUUUAGCAACCCUCAUUUAGAUUUGUUAUCCAUUUUUGUAAUCUACCAUAAUAACAUUACUACUUGUUGAACCAAUUGCCCAUAAAAUGCUUCUUUUUUAUAUUGCUCUUGACAGCCCAAGUAAUUGGACCCAAGCAAUAAUUUUUAUCGGGUAGGCCUGAGAAGUAGAAAACUCAAGUGUCCAUGGUAGGAUAGUUAGAUGCAGCCUAAAAACCACCCAUGGUCCCUCUGAAAGGACUUUAUUAUAAUCAUCCUUGGAUUUGAACUUCAUCAUAUGGUAAUUUUUUUAUACCUCAUAAGAUGCAUAAUUUUUGUUGGUUUCCAAAAGGUAAAAAAUUUCUUCUGCGGGGCAUUAAGACUGAUUCUUCUUCCCAAAAGUUUUAUCACCACUGUCAGUAUGUACUUUGGACUACCAAAGAGUGAACCCUUUCAGAGAAACAAAUCAAAUUCAUGCCAACUUCAAUUUUAAUGAACACAUCUUCAUCCAACAAUUCUAUGUCAUCAUCAUCUUGCCCAACUUGCUCUUCAUUCUCAUCCUCCUCCUCACCAUUCAUGAACAUAUCUUUGAAAAAGACUCUACCACCACCACCACUAAGGGUGUAAAUGAGACACUGGUACUCGCAAGCUACUCGAGUUCAAUUUGAAAAAAUUUUGAAUUCGAUUCAAUAAUUGUCAAGCUAAGCUUGAGCAGCUUGAGCUAUCGAUUGAGCUGAAUUCGAACUUAGUAAUACUUGACUUGAACGACUCGUGAGCCUUAUCAAAAUUUUUGAAUUUUUAUAUUAUUAAAUUACAUUAUUGUGAUUAAUGUAUUACUAACCCUAAGCUUAACUAUUGAGCUCAAGUUUGAACUUGAUUACAAAAAUUGGUAAAAAGCUUAAUCGAGCUUGAAAUCUAGUAGCUCGACUACAUCUUGAGCUGAGUAUUGAAAUCUAAAUUUCGAGUCAAGCUUGAGCUCGAGCUUGGCAAUAUUCAAGCUCGGCUCAGAUCAGCUCCUAACCACCACCAACUUCUAUAGGUGUACCACCUUCAUAUGAUGAAUCCUCUUCCUAUAACUAGACUUUUUUCGUAGCCCUACCAACCACCCCUCCCUUACAUCGUGGGAUUAAGCAUUGGAUCCUUUAUGCCAUCAUUUCCAAGAUAGAACUCCAUAAAUUAUCUUACUUUAAGAUAAUUUUUACUUUUUUUUAACAAAGAUCUUAGUUUGUUAAUGGACAAUCUAUAUGCUAAACCACCUUUGGAAAAAUAUAUUAAAAUGGCAUAAGUUCUAAAUUAAAAUUAUAAUAAUUUACAAAAUAAAGAUAAAACUCCUAUUUAACAUGGUAUUUAAAUAUUUUAUUGUUAAAUAUUCAUUUAUUAGAAAAAAAAUCAUUACUUUCAUAAUUAGAUUACUUCUUUCCUAGUGUUUUUUUUUUAUGUUUUCCACUCAGCAAAAUCUCGAAGUAUUAUAAGAAAACAUAUCUAUUCUUUUAUAUAAGAAAGGAUAUCUAAUUUUUUUUAAGAAAAUCAAUAUCGUACUAACUAAAGUAGCUUUUCUUUAUAUUUUAUUUUGUAAAUUUAUUAUAAUUAAAAUUUAUGUCAUUACAUGAAGAAUUAAUGUUGUGAGGUGUCUUUGCAUUUACCGAACUCUUUGCAGGCACUUAGAAAGACAAUCAACGAGCAAUCGAAGAAGGUCCAAAACAGACCCGACAUCAUGACGAGGAGCGUUGGGACAAUGUGAAAAUGUUUGAAACAGCGAAGCAGAGAUGACAUCGCAACGAGGCGAUUCUCGACGUGACGAAGACGGACAGCAUCACAACAAGAAGUGUUGGGGUGUUGCGAUAUGGUGACGUGUUCCCACAUAAAUUGCAUUUCUUCUCCUAGUUAUACUCUAAUAUCUUUUUCCACUUAAACUGUGAUUACUCUAGGGAUAUUUUAAUCAGAUACGCCCACGAAUUUCAGCAUAUAAAUAAGCUUUUAGCAACCUACAAAAGAGAGUUUAAGGGGGAAAUUUAUUUUUAGCCUGAGAGCUUUGUAUUUUUUAGGAUGCGAGGGUUUGUUUUAAAUUUUUUCUAUCUUGUACUCUUCUUCGGUUAUUUGUAGCUUUUAGUGAAGUUUUUUUUUUACCCGUGGUUUUUUAUCCUCGUUAGAGGAGUUUUUCCAUAUAAAUAUUUGUAUCCAAUUUUCUUUAUUCAUUCUUAUUCGUUGCUUAAUUUAGAUUUAUCUCCAACAAAUAUCAUUAAAUCUAUAAUAAAAAUAAAUUUAUUCAAUCAAAUAUUAAUAAAUAUAAGGAUCCAGAAGAGAGAACAAAUUACAUUACUAGUUUAGCUUGCAACCCCUACUAGAUUAAAAAAUAAACUUCCAAUUGUUAUUUUUUCCGAUAGGCAGAUCACCCACAAUAUCUAAUUGAUCCCAAUUUUCCGAUAGGAUAAUAAUCCAUAUAUCUCUAUUAUCACAAAAUUUUUAAUUGAAUUAAUUGGAUUUAUUAAUCAAGUUUCAAUUUCAUUUGGUAAUUAUUAAAAUUUCGUUCUUUUUUAUAAAAUAAUUUAUACUAUUAUGAUGUGAUUUGAUUUGAAUAAAGGGCACAUUAAAUACUAAAUAUGUAAUUUUAUAAUUUUAAUUAAAAUAUCAAUUGAUUUUUAUGUUAUAUAUAUUUCUAUAUAAAGAUUAAAAAGCUUUGAUUUAAUGAGAAUAUUAAAAUGAUUAUAAAUCUCAUUUAUAUUAAUUAAAAUUUUUAACUAUAUAUUAUCUUAUUUUUAAAAGGUUUUGUUAUGUUCUUAUGAUCAUCAACUCGAGAACUCGAUAAGAUUUAGGUCACUCACCCGUGUCUCGAAAGUUUGUAAGGGAAGUUUGCUGUCUUAGUUUGCACAUGUCACUUGGUGCUCGCAAAAGGAGCUCGUUGUCUCAGCUCACAUAUAUCUAAGAAGCUUGCAUGUGGGGCAACGAAGUCUAGCAAAUAGCCUAGAAUAGUACACGUGUGUUUAUAAACACUAAUCAUGUAUAUAAAUAUUUGAUUGUCCCCCUUUAAUAAAACACAACAAAAAAAUUACUCAUCAAGUUUAUAUAUUAUUUAUACUACAAUUAAAUGGAUUAAAAUGAUUUUAUUCUAAUUUAAAAAAAAACAUAUAUUGAAUAAAUAGCCACAUGAUGAUGAAUUUUUUUAAUAAAUGUAUAAUGGAAAUUAAACUUAAAACACUAUAAAUUGAUUUCGAUUUUAUUAUUUCAAAAAAAGUAUUAUUUAUUUUUUACAUGAAAAAUUGUACAUAAACAGUGGAUUAAUCUUAUUAAUCUCUUAAAAAUUAUAAAAUAAAAUAAGCUUUAAGUAACUUAAGAAAAAAAUGUUUUAAGUAUUCUCGGACUUCAGAGACCCUUUUAUGGGAAAAGAGUACAACAGUGAUCAUAAGUCGUAAAAGCAAUGCUGGGAAAGUCAACAACAGAUAAAUGAAGCUCAAACGUGGGACAUUACCCAACACUUGCAGUACCAACCAUACCAGAAAACGGUGUCGUUCCCAAUCCGAAUGCGAGCUUUCUCUAGAUCUUCUUCCUCCUCUGAUCCAUAAUCACAGCCGUCCGAUUAUAAGUGCGGUGAUGAUCUGAUGAGAACAAGACAAAAAGGACAACCAACCCCACAUGAUAAAAGGUUUUUUUUAUUAUUAUUACGUUCACAAACUUUCUACUCUUAACACUAUACACAAACAAAUUCACAAUAUUUAUUCCUUUUUUUAGAAAGAUCUGAAAAGAAACGAGAAAAAAAAAAAACCUUGGAGCUUUGGCUUUUUCUGUUUUUGGCGUGUUACUCGCAAAGCACUUUUAGUUAAGAUUCAUGUGUUACUGUUGAAGUUGUGAAGAAAUGUGUUUUGUUUUUAAUUUGAUUGACUUGAUCCGUUUGAUACGCUGAGGAUGUAGCUUACUCACUCUUGAAUUUUGAGGUAACUGCUGCGAAUGGCGGGAGAGUUUCAAGAGCCUUUCAACAUUAGUUUUCUGGUAAAUUUUCUUGCUCUUUCUUUCCUUUUGGUUAGGUGUUUGGAAUUUCUAUUAUGUGUUUCAUCAAUGGAAUUAUAUUUGUCAACUGGGUAAUUGUUGUAGUGCUUACUGAAUAUUGUGAAACCGGUUUAUGUUUAGAAAUGGUGGAACCUCAAUUUGUUUUUAACUAAUGAAAUUUUAAUCUCAUUGAUGAAGUUUAAAACAAGGAAAAAAAAAUUUGUAGUGGUUGGUUCACUUCAUUUGCAAAACGAACUUACUUCAUGUUCAUAGUUUGUACAUAUAUAUCCCCUUUUGGAUGACUCAAGUUCAUUUACUUGCUAUUUAGGUUUCAGUUUCUCUUAGUCCAUAUCUUGAUUAGUUCUAGUUUGAUCAUGAUCCCUGUUUCCUAUCUCAGUUUUGAUGAUAUUAUUGAAUAAAAUGUCAUGUAUACACAAAAGCAUACAUAAUGUAUCUCAGACAAAGAAAUGGAAUUGUUCUUAGGAGAUGGUAUGUAUGUUAGCCAUUAGUUUUGACAUUAACUUAUAAUUAUAGUAUUAGAUAUGUUAGUUAUUCUUUUUCAAACUUCAAAUUAUCUAUGGAACCACUUUUGUGCCAUUAGAAAUGUCUACUAUAUUAUUUUUGAAAAGCUGAAAAUCUACAGAAGAUUGUCUUUAGCUAUAAAGGCUUACGGUAUCUCAAGUACCUCUACCAAUGGGUAUUUAAGUGCUGGUGAAUUUUGAUCUUGCUAACCAUUUUUAUGAGUUUCUGAUCCAUGAACUGGCUCAUAAAAUACGAUUUACUUUAUUCUCUGAUAACUUGUCCACCUAUUUGAUUUAUUCUAACUCCACAUUCUUUUCAAUCUUGGCAGACAGAAUCUUUGCAUUCUGGUUCUAUAUCAUUUGGCAGAUUUGAAAAUGAACCCUUAGCUUGGGAAAGGAGAUCCUCUUUCUCACACAAUAGAUAUCUUGAAGAGGUUGAGAAAUUCUCGAAACCAGGUUCAGUUAUAGAGAAGAAAGCUUACUUUGAAGCUCACUUCAGGAAGAAGGCACUUCUUCUCCAAGGUUCAUCUGAGGGCCAAACUGGAGGUGAAGAUCAAACCUGUGAGAAUGAUGCCGUGGAGAAUGAGGGUUACAGAGAAUACCAAUUGGUUGAAAAUCAUGCUGCUGAGAACAAGCAUUCUGAAGAAGGAUCUGAUAGUUUAAGUAAAGAUAGCCAUUGCGAUCAUUUUGGUGAGAAUGGCUUGGAUAAUGCAGAUUAUAGGGAAGAUUUUUGUUGUGGAAAUGGAAAUGAAGGGAACCAGUCUGGUGAUGCAAAUGAAGGUAGCCUUUGUGCUCACAUUGACAAUGGUCUUGAAGAUUCAAAAUAUCAUACUGAGGGUGCAUUGAUUGAAUGUGGACUAGAAUAUCCUGGAGGUUUAUAUACUUAUGAAACUCAUGUUUUAGUCCCUAGAGAUGUUAAACCUGAGGAGUCUCCUGAAAGUGAAAUUGGAUGCGAUACACCACUUUUUAGCAACGAUAAGCCAGAUAAAAAAGUAGAGGAAAACCAUGAUGACAAUGCAGUUAGUAUUGAUGAAUCAUUUAAGUCCAAGAAUCCAUCUCCCUGUAGUGGAACCACUGGAGAAGUUGAUCCUCCUAAGUUAGAGAUUCGGCAAAAUCAUUCUCCUAAGGUAUGGGUUUAUAUUCAUUCUAGUUCUUGUUGGUUUCUGGAAAGUAACAUUCACUGUAGUAGCCAGAAACUGGAUCUCACAUUGUUUUCUGAUGUGAUGCCUGCAUUUCUUUUUGUCUUGUGUUUACAUCCUUGUAGCUUAUACUUUUUAUUUUUUAAUUGUAGUUGAAGCCUGCUAUUGUAAAAGCAACUAAACCGAGGUUGAAGUCUCCAAGUCCUGAUCAUUCCCGGAAAAAUAUUUCUUCUGAUCCUUCAAAAGUAGCUGCAAGGAUUCUAGAAAGAAAGGAAAAAGAGAUCAAUAGGAGAACAAAAGCAGAAAAUUUACCAUUGCGAACUGCCACUCCAACUAGACGUCUAAUGCACAGAUCUCCAAACAAAGAGGUGAAAAUUUUGGACUUAGACUUGAAAGUUAAUGAGAAAAGGCGACCUUUGUAUUGUCUAGUUUUUAUUCUUUGUUAAGAAUUCUUGUUAGACUUCAUACUGCCAUCUGAAUUUCCUUGGUCUUUCUUGUCCAGGAUUCUGAAAGAGAUAAUGCAAAAUUAAACACUGAGCAUAGAAGGUACUUACUAUUUCUUGUAUUUUAAGAAUAUACAUGUUUCAUUUGUGAGGGUGGUUCAAAAGGUUAUUUCAUUCUUCUUACAGCGAAAAAGGAGCAAUGGCGAAGAGAGUAAUUGAAGCUCGUCCUUCUUUAUCUAAGAAGAUUGAACCUGUUGCUCACCAGACACCAAAUAGGUCUGUAGCAACAUUAUGGACACUGCUUUAUGUUAUCAAAAUUUUGACUUUCAACCUUAUUGUAGCAUAUUCUGUUAUGUAGGCUUAAGCAGACUAUCAGUUCAACUAAGGCAGAUGUAAAGUUAAGUGCUGGAGCAUUUCAAUUCAAAAGUGAUGAACGAGCUGUAAGGAGAAAGGGGCAAGCAAACAUGCUGUCAUCUUAAACCCUCCCUUUUUUAUUUUUUUAGUUUAAGGAUGCAGUUUAGUAUCUUAAAUUUCUUUUUUUUUUUUUUUCCUCAUAAAACGUUUUCAGUUCUUCAUGAAAGUAGAAGAGAAAAUGCAUUCCAAAGAGGUUGAGAUGAAUCAGAUUCAAGCAAGAAAGCAAGUAAGGGAAGCAUGCAAUACUCAUUAUUUACUAUUUCAAAUGAAAAUGAAAUGGGUUUCCAUUAUGUGCUUUCUUGUCAGUAUUUGAAGUGAAGGACUGCUCUGACAUUUCUGGACUAAUAAUAGGUUGCUAAAUUCAUAAAUAAAUUAAGUGCUUUGGUCUUACUGCAGGAGAAGACAGAGGCAGAAAUUAAACAAUUGCGGAAAAGCCUUAAUUUCAAAGCAAAACCCAUGCCUUCUUUCUAUCAUGUUGCUACAGCACCAAGGUCCAAUGGAAACAAGGUACACAAGAAGCUAAGCUAUUGCUUUGAUUUUAUAAUGUAGCUCAUGUCUUUUGAUGUGAUUAGUGUACAUCUAGAAAGCAUGCACUCUUGACUGCGUAUCUACUUUGGAGGUUUAUAUAAUCAUAAUCUAGCAUAAUAGCUUCAGUGUCUCACAGAUUCUUCUUCAUUUCGUAUUUAAUUUUCUCAAAACGCAUUUAAUGUUUUGACGUUGCAUGUGGAACGAUCUAUUUAAUGCUAUAAGAAGCAAUAGUAGUAAAAGAAAGAAUGUUUAUAUUUUGUUCUUUGCCCAUUUGUUAUUGGCUUUUGGAUAUUUGUUGUUUUGGUUGCAGAAGUUUUUUCUUCUUGUUUCUUCAUGUUGGUUUUAGUAGACUUCAUUGUUCUCAAGACAGCUCUUAUAUUGGAUGUGAGAAUCUGAAACGAAUUACCUUAUCCAAAAGAAGCUGUUGAAGAAGGGAAAAUAAUAUGCAUGUUGGUUGAUGACUCAAGAAGUACAAGGUUGAUGUUUUUGGAGUUUGUAACCAUGGACUAUGUAUAAUUACUGAAUCCUGGUAGAGCUUUGUAUUGCUCCACGUAUGAUGGAAAAUAUGUGAUACUUAUUUUGGGCAUCAUAUUCUAAAUGAUCUUAAUAUCUAAGCAUAGGAAACACUGAAAUGACAUUCUACAUGGUUUAGUUUAUAAAUGAAUUUUUCCUUUCAAAAUGAUACUUCAUAUUGACUGUCGCUUUGAUAGGAAGUUGGAAAUGUAGACCUUAUUGUUGGACCUAUUAUAAUCUGAAUCCCUUAUAUUUCAUAUCUCUGUUCCAUUUGUCAAUAGAUUUAACACUAGCUUUCUUCUGUUUCGUUAUCAGGCUGCAUCAUCUACCAUAAAACCAGCUAAAGUACUACCAAAAGCAGCAAGUCCAGGAGUAGGAGCUACCGUAAGAUCACCACCACUCUCCAAGCAAGCUAAUAAAGAGGUCUUUUCUACUGGUGGGCCUGUAGGUGAGUUGAAUUUUUGUAGAGUUGAGUCAUCAUCUCAGUCUGGCAUCAUAUCCUCCACUCCACCAACUGGUAGUACCGGCUUCUCUGCAUCUCUAACACAAAACAUCGUCCUUUUGAAGAAAUAGAGAGGGAAAGAGCGCAGUAAUUUGCCAAAACAUGGAACAUCAGAGAAGGAUAAGGUCAUAAAAGAUCGUAAGAAUGGUGGGAUGCCAAAAGUGGGAGCUGAGAGAAUGAGGAAGAAUAACAUGAAAAGUGCUGGACUUGUUGCUAAUGCCAGUGGUUCUAGUAUAGGUCGUUUGACAGUAGUGGCUUCCUGAAACAAUCAGCCAUGGUUGUUCAUUUCAUUUUAGGCAGGGCAGCCAACGCAGGAAUCUUGGAAUUAUCAAGUCAUGUGUUGCGCCUUACCAGGAAUGCGGAUGGUGUUAGGUUUUACAUAGAAUACCAGACGGAAAUAGCGAAAUGGCAAGGCCAAUUAAUAGAUUGUUGAUAGUAGUCUACUCCUGACUCAAAACAACUCAAGUUAAACGGCGUGUAAUGUAACAAAUAUAGCUAGCUGGAAUGCUAGUCAAUAAUGGUAGCUUUGUUAUUGUUGUUGAAAAGUUAUUUGUCUCCCUUCUUACCGACCAACAUAUAGUCGCUACAAAGAUUAGAUUUGAAGCCAAGUGACUUCCACUUUUAUGCAGAUAAAUAGAAAACCUGGAAUCAAGCUUUGAAAGGCAUUCCCUUUUUUUAGCUUUGAGAAAAUCGUUUUAUUAUAGAAAAUCUCCAUUGUAGGUGAUGCAAUCAAGUAGGUAAGCAAAAUUGUAAUUUGAAACAAUUUAAAAAAAGAGGAAAACAAAUAUUAACAUAUACUCAACAAUCAUCUCAUCCAUUACCAAACAAAAGAUUUAAACAAAGUGCGUGAACCACCUCCACCACCCCUUUGAUUCCUUUGUCUUUUACUUCACCAUUUCUUUCUGCAACUAAAAACACAUCCAAAUCUCACCUUUCUUCUUCUGAUUACUCUCUUUAAACAUGGCUUAAUCAUAAUUACUUUUACGCAAAAUCUUCCUUUUUUCUCCUUUCACUAGCUAGAAAUUCCCUAAACUAGAAAUAACUAGAAUAAUAAAUACAACAAGAUUUGUGGUAGCAGUGGUGAUGAGUAUUGACCUUCCAGGACCAACUGUUGCUGCUGCUGACUGAUCAUCUGUUUGGUGUGGAGGUUUUCUAUAGUAGUAUGGGAAAUAAGGCAAGAUAGGGUCAGGAGGGGGCUGACCAUAUAAAGAAUUACCUCCACCAUAAGGUGGUGGUGGAUAGUAAUAUGGUAAGUUCCCUGUAGGUGGAGGGUAUACUCCUGUUUGGGAGGGUGGUGAGUAACUAGCUGGAGGUGUUU
rnacentral:lncRNA from 1 species